rnacentral:lncRNA from 1 species
UUGGUAAUGAUAAUCCGUCAUAGUAAUUUAUUUUCAAGCACUUGAGAUUUGAGUGAGGUUGAAGCACUUCGAGUACUUGCUGAGCACUAAUAGUUGGGGGAUUGGUAAAUCCAUAGUUGCUUUCCCAUGACAAGCAUAAUUCAUGAAGGUCUUUUUUACCCAUCAAAUCAGCCGCUUGAGCUUGAGAUAAACUGCCAAAAUCUUUUAAGCCUUCGAUACGCAGUUUUCCACCGAGGUUUAGAUCACGUAACUCUGACAAGCUAUUCCCUUUCUCUAAACUAACAAUGUACACACUUAAUGUUUUUAGACUAGUUAAUUUUCCAAUGUUAGGAAACAUUCGAGACAAAGAUAUACAAUAUUCAAUAACUAUAUGUCUAAGAUUUUGUAAGAAAGCCAAGCGUUUUGGGAGACAAAUCAGUUCACCACAAUGUUUUAUUUUCAAGGUUUCCAGUUUUUGUAAGUUGUAAAUUGAGUCAGGCAACUCUUGUAUGUCAAGAUAAAGAAGCUCCAAAUACCUUAAAUGAAUUAAACUACCUAGUAAUGGCCCCCGGAUAAAGGUUGUGCAUAAAACCCGAAGAGAAGGGUCUGUUGGGAAGUAAUCCUGUUCUUCUUUUGGAAAAGUAGAAAACUCAAACCAUGUUCGCAAGGAUUCAACUUUUCUGAAGGCACCCUCAUCGAAUGAUAACAAAUUAUCAGAGUUAAAACUUAUGUGGUGUGUGCUUUUUGACAAACUAGUCAUGUUUGCAUUCUCCAAAUAUAUACAUUCUUGCCCCAUUACUGACUUAGCGAGAUCAUGGACAAGAUCAUGCAUCUUGAAUGAAAUGUUGCCAGAAAAUUCAUCCAUUUUUUUGUCUUGAAAGAAUGAUUUUUGGUACAAUUCAUCCCAAACCAUGAUGCCAACAUCUUCAACCUCCGUAUUACCCCAAGAUGAAAUCAAUCCAUUAGCCAUCCAAAGCUGAAUCAAUUCUUCUUUCAAGAUUUCCCUAUCCUUGGGAAAUAUAGCACAAAAAGAGAAACAUUGCUUUAGGGUCGGUGUUAAAUAAAAGUAACUCAACCUCAAAGAACGCAAAAUAUAAUUUUCUUCUGGUAAAGCCCAAAGCUCAGUGUCUUUAAUAUCAAGCCAUUCCUUUUCUCCAUUCCUUGAGCUCAUCAAACCUCCCAAUGCUUUUGCUGCAAGAGGCAAUCCAUUACAUUUCUUUACUAUCUCCUUUCCUAUUGCUACAAGUUCUGCACGCUCUUCUCUAUAAUGUCCCAAUGCAUAUUCUUUGAACAACAACCAACAUUCACUAUCAGAGAGACCAGACAAAGAGUGAGCUUGGCAUGUUCCCAUGAUUGUUGCAACAACUUUAUCACGGGUGGACACUAAAAUGGAACUACCUUUUGAUCCACACGACAAAACAGAUUUCAAACGAUUCCAUCUAUCUUGUGUUAACCCAGAUUCCAAUUGUUCAUUUUGAUUCCACACAUCAUCCAAAAUCAGCAAAUAUAUUCUCCCUUGCAACAAUUCUUGCACCUUUCUUUGUAUUACAUCUGAAUCCAAGGCAUCACAUAUCUCUCCUGUAAUAUAUUCUAUAAUAGAACACAAAAUCCUCUUGACAGAGAAAGUCUCGGAAACACAAACCCAAGAUCUUAUGUCAAAAUAGUCCCUCACCCUAACAUCAUUGUAGACCAAUUGAACAAGAGUUGUUUUACCAAUACCACCUAAACCAACAAUGGGGUAGACGGAAAGGAAGUCAGAGUCCCUCGCAUGGGUGAGAAGAAACUCAAAAAUCUUUUCUUUAUCAUCUUUUCGUCCAAACACUUCUGGUUUAGCAAUAAUGGAGUUGAUUUGACGCCAUUCAUCUACUUCAUCUGAGCUUUCCCUAACAUAUACAGUACCAUCUCGUAGAAGAAAUUUGUUCUUAAUAUCAGCAAUAUCAUCCAAUCUUCUUGUAAUCUCUUUCAACCUGUUGCCGAUCUGACGGCGAAACACGAUGUUCUUUGGGUUGAAAGAGAAUGAGCCUCCAAGUCGAGCAGACUCGAUCGAACACUCAUCAAGGAUAUCAUCGAGCACAUAAACAGCAUCUUUGAGUUGUUGGAGCCAUACCUUAAUAUAGCUGUCUUUGACUUGUCUCUUCUCAGCAUCUACAAGAACAGCCUCGAUGUGAUUUAAGGAGGUUGAUAGGUUUUUGGCCUUUGACUUGAUUCCAGAAAUGGUAGAAAAUUCACUUUGUAGGAGAGAAUUCACUUUCUCAAACGCAGCUCUAAGUAAAGCUUCGGCCAUUUUUUUAGAAAAGAAAGAGUUGAAAAGUUAUAAGGAAAUGAGAAACUGGUUUAGACAGAAAGAGUGCUAAGGAGACGCAAGUAGGUGUUCAAUAAUUGAUGCAACUUGCAGAGUCCAUUACAUUGUAUUUUAUUGGAUUAACGGUGUUUUAUCUAGAUCAUUUUUGGAUUUAUCUCUUAUAAAAUAUUUUUUUGGUUUAAUUGCACUUUUCCUCUCUAUAGUUUGCCAAUUGUACAAUUUUGCAUCCCAUAGUUUUAAACUAGCGAUUUUGCCCCCUAUAAUUUUCCCCUUUAUGAUUUUAUGGUCCCCAUGAUAUUUAGUGUUGGUUUUUUUUUUAUCAAUUAAUGUGUGUCACGUGUGUAAUUCCAUUUUUUUAAAAAUAAAAAAAAUGGUAUUUUUUAGAUUUUGAGAAGGGGGCACGUGAUUUUUCAGAUUUUAAGAAAAAAUAUCACGUGCCUCCUUCUCUCAAAAUCGAUGGAAAGAGUUUGAUUGAACUACUAUAACGAGUGGUCGACAUAACAAUGAAAUACCUUUACUUUAUAACCCUCUAAAAAAAAUUUAAUUGAUAGUACUUUAUGUAACACUCCGUUUUCUAAACAUAAACAAAUUCAUAAAAAUAAUCAGAGUUUUUCACAUAAACGGAAUGCUACACUUCUUUUCUUAAAAAUCAUAAACGAAAUAAUUAACUAAUAAAUAUCAACAUAUAACAUAACAAAAUAUCACUCAUCAAAAUAAAUCGACUAAAUUAUAAAAAGUCAUUUAAACUCAAUAAAAUAAAUAAAUAAUAAAAUAGAGUGUUACAACUCUACCUUCUUAAAAGAAUUUCGUCUUUGAAAUUUAAAGCACAAGAGAAAAAUGAAUUUAAUUAUUGCUUAAAUAUCUUAAACUUUGUAUAACAAAAAUAGAAACUUCAACAAUACACAAAAUUCACAUUAAAGUUAAUCAGUCAAACAUGAUCACAUAAUAAAACAUCACCAUUAAUUAGAAAAAUACAACGACAAACGACUCAACUACUUGGCCGGUCGGACCGACCUGCUCUGAUACCAAUUGUAACACUCUGUUUUCCCAACAUAAAAAAAUUCAUAAAAAUAAUCAGAGUUUUCCACAUAAACGAAAUGCUACAAUUCUUUUCUUAAAAAUCAUAAACGGAAUAAUUAACUAAUAAAUAUCAACAUAUAACAUAACAAAAUAUCACUCAUCAAAAUAAAUCGACUAAAUUAUAAAAAGACAUCUAAACUCAAUAAAUUAAAUAAAUAAUAAAAUAGGGCGUUACACUUUAUACUACUCUUCAGUACUUGUCGCUUUUAGAGAAUAAUUUUAUUUCAUUUUACUUGUCACUUUUAAGUUUCAAUACAAAAUUAAUUAUUGGUUUGUCAAUAAUACCCUUAUCCAUUUAUUGAAGAAAGAAAAAUAAUAAAAUGAAAUAACAAAUGAUUAAGAGUAUUAUAGAAAAAAAAACACAGAAUUUCAUCAAAAAUAACAAAAUUUAUUUGGUUUCUUGGUAUGUGUAAAUUUCUCAAAAGAGAUAAGUAUUGUGAAAUGGAGAGAAUAAUAACUUUGUUUUACAUUUUAUUUAUAAGAAAUGCAUGUCUUUAAUUGUUUCGAAGUUUAAAAUGAAAAUAUUAUUUUAAAAUAAAAAAUAAUUGUUUGUUCAUGCAAACAUUGAAAUAAUAAGAAAUAAUUAUUUUCUACCUAAAACUCUAACAUUAAACAAAUUUAAAUUGAAUAAGGACUAAUAUUGAAUGUAUAAAUUUUUUAUAGGGUCUAAAAAAACUAUUAUAAUUAAGUAAGAACUAAACUGAAAAGGUCGCAAUUUUACAGGGACCAAAAACAUAUUUAACCCAAAAAAAUUAUUCACUUUUAGUUUAUAUUUACAUGUUAUAAAGGACUAUUUUGGAGUACUAAAUGUGCCCAUUUUUUGUAAAAAGUUUUUAAAAUAAUGACUAUUCUUACAAACUAUAUGGAAUAGAAGAUUAAAAUUACCUUAAAAUUUUAUAGAAACUAAACUUAAGAAUUUGUGAUUUUGCAGCGACUAAAAAUAUAUAUUUAAUCAUUUGUUUCGUGAGCAUAACUCAGUUGGUAGGACAAUACAUUAUUAUAUACAGGGGCCGGAGUUUGAACCCCGGACACCCCACUUAUUCACCUUAUAAGGUGAAUUCUAACCACUAAGCUACCUGACAAAAAAAUAAAAAAGAUUUAAUCAUUUAAUUUCAUACUUGCUCAAGUUCUCUCUCCAAAAAAGUCUAAUUUAUUGUACUAAUUUUAGAUAAAAUAAUAUAUAGGAGUUCUCUUGAUUCUUGAAUCCAAAAAUCACCACUGUAUCUCAAUUCUCACAAGCGUAGGUUAGGGUCUGUUUGGUUCGCGGGUUUUGAACGGGAGGGGAGGGGAAGGGAGGGAAUAUUUUAAAAUUUUUGUGAUUAGUUCAAUUUUUAGAAGGGGAUGAGAGGGAGAGGAAGGGGAACAAAAUCCCUCAUAUAAGCUCAUUUAUGGCUCCUCCUCAAAUUGAAGUUUUUUGGAGGGGAGGGGAGAGAAAAAGAGAUGAGUUAAUGCAAUUUUAAUUACAUUAACAUAAUUAUCCUCAUGUUUAUUUUUAAAUGACAAAACCGUCCUUAUUAAAAAUUUAAGUGUUUUCAACAUAUUGCUUAUUACUAUCUUUUUUGUAACAUGUCAAUGUCAAUUUUUUUUUUUUUAACGAGAAUUGCAUAUUCUUGUCUUCUAAUUAUUAUUUUUUACGUGAAUUCACUUUUUUUUUACUAACGAUGCUUUUAUUUUUUUUAUUUGGAUAUAUUUAUUUUGGGUUUGGUUAUGGUGCAUAAGGAUUUUCCUUAUGCACCCUGCAUAAGGAUUGCUAAUAGGGCCCAUUAAUAGUAGCCCAACAAAUUUUCUGCUUCCUACACCCCAAAAACAGAAAACAAGUAAAACUGGCAAAACAAAACAAACUAUUCAUUUCUUCAACAACCACCUCUCUUUCACCUCUCACCGGAAACCGUCGCCGUUAACCAUCGCCGUCGUUCUUCACCACUGUAUCAAUCGCCAUCAUUUCUCAAGGUCGUCGUUCUCCACCACUGUCUUGAUUUCCCCACCAUCGUCGUUCUUACUAUCGUCGUUCUUCACCUUCCACCACCAUCGGAACACGAGGUCCAUCGGAAACAACCUCCACCACCGGAAACACUAGCCGCCGUUCUUCAUCAACACAAGGUCGUCAUUCUUCACCACCGGAGACACCGUCGUUCACUACACCAGCUCUUCACCACCACCGUCGUCGCCGUUCACUUCCAACACCGUCGUUCACUUCCAACGCCUUCGUUCACUACAACAUCUUCAACAAACAGCAAACAUGUCGAAAUCAAAUCAGGUUUGCACUGAACUUCUUUAUUGAUCGUAAAUUUGAUUUUCAACCAAAACCAUUUUUACGUGGAAAUGGUUUCUAUGUGUUGUACACUAAAACCAUUUGGUGCUGGUAAUUUUUUUCUUUGGAUUAAUGACUCAAGUAUAUUAUAAUCAUCUGAUGCUGGUAAUUGAUUUCUUUGAUCCAGGUUAACAAAUCUAACGACGGGGGGCCAAUUCCAAACUUCAGUAUUGGACUUACGCAAUUAGAGCAAGAGCAAGCAUCUGAUGAAGAUAAAGGAAAAAAAAAGGGUAAAAAGAUGGAAAAAAGGGUAAGUCUUCAAUUCUAUUUGCUGUCAUUUUUAGUACGAGCAAUAAUUUCUUCGUUGAUUUUUUAGUACGAGCAAUAAUUUGUUCAUUAUGCUGCAAUGUUGUUCAAUUGAAAGGUAUAUUUCAUUGAUUCUGAAAUAAAUUGUUUUAUCUAUGUUUCUUUGAUGUUUUGAUUUCAUCAAUCUCAAUUUGUUGUUGUAUAGUUCAUGCUAUGUUUUUAAUUGUUGCUGGAUGUAUGCUCUAUGAUUCAUGUUUUGACUCUUCGUGCUUAACACUGAACUGCUAGUGAUAGUUAACCUAUGAUAUGAAGCAUGCACUCGGACACACACAGCGCUGAUACGACACGUCAGACACAAUUUGAGAAAAUUAGACAAUUCAAUGUAAUCACAUGUGUCCUGUCAUCAUUUGAUUUGAUACGCUAUGUAGCACGGACACUUCUAUUUGACGAGGAUUUGGUUUGUCUGAAUAUCCAUAACCAAUAAGAUCAAUAGAGUAUAUGCGGUGGGAUUUUGCUAGGUCUGGAAUAUUUUUCCUCCAGUGAUCACUGCAAUGAAGUGUAUUCUCAAUCACUCAAAAUAACUGCAGAACCAAACAGACCUAGCUAUAAGACCCUUACAAUAAAUAUGUGAUAUAAUAUGUGUCCUGCAUUUUCUAAUUGAAAUGAAAGAACAUGAAUGCAUGUUUCUUAAUCAAAUUUCUAGAUACCUCUAUUCAUGAAAAAAUUCAAGAAUAAAGAUCCCUAUAAUUUCUAAAUCUUUGCCUGAUAAAUUGGUUGAUGGUUUAUGAGGAAGGAGAGGUGAAAGAAGCUAAAAAGUUGUGACUUAUGAUGAUGAAUGGUUUUGUUAUCUGAUGGUUCUGUUGUAUGCUUCAUGUUUAGAAUGGUUCUGUCUGCUGUCAUUUACUCUGAUAUUGAAGACGUAGGCACAAUUGGUCUAUAUCCUCUUAUAUCUCUGUCUGCAUAGUCCACUUCGUCAUAACUUCAAUCUAAUUUUUCUUCGUCUAAUGGUGCUAAGUACUAGCUGAGGCAUAGUCUACUGUGUUGUGUCUUAUAUUUCAACACUGAUAUGAUGGAUAAAUGUAUCUAAUAUGAUAGAAGCAAAUAUCUGAAGACCAUAUGAUGCUGUUAGUUAUUCUAAUUGUUGCUCCUCCCUAUUAGCUCUCUUCCAUAUAUUUGGUUAUGCAAUAUAAGGUCUUUAUUCCAAGUUCAAAAAACAAGAAAAUGUGAGUGAGUAAUCACUUUUGAGAAAAGGAAUUCUUCACUGAACUCCAUCUACAAUUCACAAAUCACAAGAUACAUAAGUUUAGAAAAUUUAUGUGAGCCUAACUGAUAGGAAUAGGAUCACACAUAACAAAUUCAUGCACUGCUUGGACUUGCACAAUGUUGAAUGUUGGAAAUAACAUAUGAAUGGUGGAAUGGUAGUUCUGGGUGAGCAUCAAGUCUCACGAGAGGCUUCAAUCCAAGAGGAAAAAAAACUGAAUUGAAUUUGUCUUGAACUCUCUCUGCAUUUGUGUGUGUCUGCAUCGUCUUAUAUCUCUCUCUGGCCCACUUGAAUUUUUCUUAACUACAAAGUUUCAAUUGUUUCGUUGAACACUGAGAUGAUAAAUACAUGUGUUUGAUAAGAUAGAAGAAAAAAUCUAAUACUGAGAUGAUAAAGACCGUUGGUUAUUGGUAGUUAUUCUAAAUUUCUAAUAGUGACAUCUCUAUGUUAGCAAUAGUUUUAAUUCAAAAUACAAGAAAACAUGAGAGGAAACUUACAAGAGGAAUGUCUGAAGGUCUGUUCUUUAGAAACUUAGACAAAAUAUGUGAGUGUUCAUUAAACUAUAUAUCUAUAAUUUGCAAGAUCACAAUGUAAUCUGUUUCCUCUUAUGGUUCUGGACAUAACCCUUGAUUCUAAGGUGAACCACAUUAAUUAACUCUAAUUGAGUUCUUAUGUGUUUUGUUUUUUCACAGAAGUUCCAACCAUUGUACUCCAAAACCAUUAGAUGUAUUUAAUGGUUUUCUUUGCUCAUGCAGGUGAAAAAAACUAAAGAGCUAGAGCCAUUGCCAUCAUUUAGUAUUGGACUAACUCAAAUAGAAGAGGAGGGCAGGAAUGAAGAGGCUAAAAGUUCAGAUAUGGAAAAUGAGGAAAAUGCAAAGCAAAGACUGAGGCAUAAGAUGAGUAUACCUAAGGUAUAUGAUCUUAUGAAUUCAGUAAAUGGCAAACAAAGAAAGGAUGAGAUCAUUAACGUAUUGAAUGAAAGUGGCUUUGGGGGAAUGGUUCAUUUCUGAAUCUGUGUUAAUGCUUCAAAAGAUGUUUAUGAAUUUCGAUGAAUUUGCUCAAAAUUAGGUGUAUGGAAUACUGAAACCAUAAGUAUGGUAUAAUGGUUUUGAUAGUGUACUAGGUAAAACCAUACUUAUGGUGUAAUGGUUUUGAUCAAAAUUAUUAUAGGUACGUGGUUCUAAUGGUUUUCUAAAUAAAAACAAAUGUGAUAAACAGUUAUUUUAGGCCCAAGAAUGUUGAAUUUAAUUAAAAUUUGCUCAAAAUUAGGAGUAUGGAAUACUGAAACCAUAAGUAUGGUAUAAUGGUUUUGAUAGUGUACUAGGUAAAACCAUACUUAUGGUGUAAUGGUUUUGAUCAAAAAUUAUUAUUGGUACAUGGUUCUAAUGGUUUUCUAAAUAAAAACAAAUGUGAUAAACAGUUAUUUUAGGCCCAAAAAUGUUGAAUUUAAUUAAAAUUUGCUCAAAAUUAGGUGUAUGGAAUACUGAAACCAUAAGUAUGGUAUAAUGGUUUUGAUAGUGUACUAGGUAAAACCAUACUUAUGGUGUAAUGGUUUUGAUCAAAAAUUAUUAUUGGUACAUGGUUCUAAUGGUUUUCUAAAUAAAAACAAAUGUGCUAAACAGUUAUUUUAGGCCCAAGAAUGUUGAAUUUAAUUAAAAUUUGCUCAAAAUUAGGUGUAUGGAAUACUGAAACCAUAAGUAUGCUAUAAUGGUUUUGAUAGUGUACUAGGUAAAACCAUACUUAUGGUGUAAUGGUUUUGAUCAAAAAUUAUUAUUGGUACAUGGUUCUAAUGGUUUUCUAAAUAAAAACAAAUGUGAUAAACAGUUAUUUUAGGCCCAAGAAUGUUGAAUUUAAUUAAAAUUUGCUCAAAAUUAGGUGUAUGGAAUACUGAAAUCAUAAGUAUGGUAUAAUGGUUUUGAUAGUGUACUAGGUAAAACCAUACUUAUGGUGUAAUGGUUUUGAUCAAAAUUAUUAUAGGUACGUGGUUCUAAUGGUUUUCUAAAUAAAAACAAAUGUGAUAAACAGUUAUUUUAGGCCCAAGAAUGUUGAAUUUAAUUAAAAUUUGCUCAAAAUUAGGUGUAUGGAAUACUGAAACCAUAAGUAUGGUAUAAUGGUUUUGAUAGUGUACUAGGUAAAACCAUACUUAUUGUGUAAUGGUUUUGAUCAAAAUUAUUAUAGGUACGUGGUUCUAAUAGUUUUCUAAAUAAAAACAAAUGUGAUAAACAGUUAUUUUAGCCCAAGAAUGUUGAAUUUAAUUAAAAUUUGCUCAAAAUUAGGAGUAUGGAAUACUGAAACCAUAAGUAUGGUAUAAUGGUUUUGAUAGUGUACUAGGUAAAACCAUACUUAUGGUGUAAUGGUUUUGAUCAAAAAUUAUUAUUGGUACAUGGUUCUAAUGGUCUCAGAUAACACAAAUGCUCUGGUUUAUGUAAUGGAUGACAGUGAGCCACAUCCCAUCUAUAAAUCUUAUACACAUUCAAAACUUCAUCCAGCUUCAAAUAUAUUCCAGCUUUACAACCGACCCUUUCCUCAGGUUUUUCUUUCACUUUCACAAACUCAAUAACCAGUGGACUGUCUGAUGUUGGCCUGUUGUUAGGAUUAAGCAAACUUCCCUUCUUGUAACCUUGUUUGUUACAAACAUAACGCAAAUAAUGUAUCUUUUCUGAUUUCUUAUUUUGUGAAUUAUUCUUCGACUUCAACAUAGUCCUAAUAGAAAAUCCAGUGUUAUAUGCAUAAUUACCAUAAAAAUCUUCAACCUCUUUGAUAGAUUGAAAGACUAAAGACUUCCAUGAUUCUUCAUUGCUAGGGGAGUAACAUUCAGUAUGAAUCAUUGAAGAAGUUUCAACACUCAGUUGUCCACUCUCAGCAUGAAUCAGUGAUGAAGCUUCAACACUCAGUUGUCCACUCUCAGAUGAAGUUGAUAUCAAAUCCAUUGAAAACAGCAACAAACACUAUUAAGAACAAACAACCAUUAGCACAUUAAGCAUUUUUCAUUCAAUAUACAAAACGAUUAACACAUCAAUGCAUGUAAAUUUGCAGAUUAAGCAUUCAAGAUCAGAAAAGUAGACAAGGACUGAAAAAACUACAAACAAUAACACAUCAAUGCUCUUAUUUUUCAAUCUAAUAUUCCUAAAAGUUUCGCAUAAAUCUUUGCUUGACUUGAAUAAUGAGUUAUUCACUCUUGUUUAUCAUCGGCUUAAAUUCGAUUGUAUAGCUAUAAAUUCCAUUUUUCAUGGUUACAAACCAGGAAUAAAAGGACUCCUCUUUUCACUGCAUAUCAUAUUAGGUUCUAGAAGUGACAGUUUUUUGUGAUUGACAGUUUUAUGUGAUACAUUGAUUUUCAUAAGUUGUAAAUUUUAGGUAUCAUACAACUUUCAAUAAGUGUCCUGGAGUUUGUGACACAAGAGUUUUAUGUCUGAAACUAUAUAGAAAAAUAAACUUGUUUGGUUCUGACUAGGUUUGGAUAUUGUUUUUACAGAAAUCAAUUGUAGCAAAUAUAAGUUAUUACAUGAUACAAUAGUCCUCAAAUAUAGUAAAAUGUUAAUGUCUGACACUAUAUAGCAAAUAAACUUGUUUGGUUCUGAUUCUUAAUGCAUCUAAUUUUAGUCUCUUAAUGACACUUCACAUCAAAAUUGUAAGACUCUGAACAAUAAUUUUGUAAAUCAUGUUCAAUGACACUUCACAAGAAAAACUUUAUCUGCUGUUUCAUAUCCUUUACUGAUGGUUUCAGGUUGAGAAAGAAUUCUAUGUUGAGGAAUUAGUGUUUCCUUAUAAGCAAAAUCAUAAAUUCAACACAGAAAUAGAGAAUACAAACAAACAAUAAAUCUUUGCCUGAAAAAACUACAAACAAUAACACAUCAAUGCUCUUAUUUUUGAGGAAUUAGUGUUUCCUUAUAAGCAAAAUCAUAAAUCCAACACAGAAACAGGGAAUACAAACAAACAAUAAAUCUUUGCCUGAAAAAACUACAAACAAUAACACAUCAAUGCUCUUAUUUUUGAGGAAUUAGUGUUUCCUUAUAAGCCAAAUCAUAAAUUCAACACAGAAACAGGGAAUACAAUCUAUUGAAUUUAUUAAGAAAUUCAAUAAAUUCAAUCACAGGAACAGGGAAUGGUUCAUAAAUCACCAAAAAUGCAGGAACAGGGAAUGGUUCAUAAAUCACCAAAAAUGCGAAAUUGAAAACCGAUCAAACACAGAAAAACAUCACAAACGCAAAACCUGAAGGUUAAUCGGAGUUGAGCGAGCGGCGAGCGGCAGAGAAUGAGCGGUGAGCGGCGGUAGAGAAGCACUUAUGAGAUGAGCGGCGGCAAGCGGGAGGGUUGCAACAACAAUGAAUAGGCGAGCGGCGAGCGGCGGUAGAGAUUGAGAGGCGACGGCGGCAGAGAAGCGGCGAGCAGCGAUCGGCGAGGUGAGAAGAGGAAAAUGAUAGUAUGAGAUGUGAAGGAGAGUGUGAGCUGAGAUUAUUACACGUGUAAAACCAAUCUGAAGGUUGAAAAGAGCUUAUGCAGGGUGCAUAAGGGAAACCCUUAUGCACCAUAACUUAUACCAUUUAUUUUAUAGUUUUUGAUUGUAUUAUAUAUUAAAACAUAAUUAAUAAAAUUUGUAGAAGAUUUUUUUAUAAAUAUAUUUUAAAAAUAAUUUCUAACAAUAAAUUUUUUAUAAAUAUUUUUAUAUUGUACUAGAUUAUUUUAGAAGUGCUCUAAUAUUUAUGGAUAUCUAAUAUUUUGUUAGAACUUUUGUGUUUGAUUAUUUAUGGAGUUUUUGGUUACCGAGUUUUCAUGUUUAAAUUUUUAUGAACGGAAUAAUAUAAAAAUCAUGAUAUUGUUUUAAGGCUAGAGGGAUAAAAAAGUAAUUUGGUUUUAAAAUCCAUCCCAUUCCCUUAUGAAUCAAACAUAUAUUUAAUUAAAAUCUCUUCCUUCCCCCUUCCCUCCCAUCAUUUGAACCAAACAUAUAUUUAAUUGAUAUAUCUCCCCUUCCCCCCUCCCUUUCCCUCCCUUCCAUUAAAACCCCUCCCCUUCCCUCUGUUGAACCAAACGGACCCUAAAGAAUUAUAGACUGGUACGUUGUGAGUAGUGCACAAACGUGAAAAAGGAUUGAUGUGUGCUUUUGAAGACCGCUAGGGUUUUACGGCACCGCUUGCGAUUGCACUUGCCCUUAAUUCCAUCAAUUUUGAAUUGAAGUUCGGUUGGUGUUUUAAUCCAAUCGGUUACCAUCCAAUUGGUGUUAAACCUUUAUCAUCAUCAAUUUGUUUUAGCAAUUGUGGGGCUGGUGGUUCAAAGGUAUCACGUAGAAGUUUUUGAGUUACUAGCUUUCAACGAAGUCCUUUACAACAAGUUAACAAGUUGCUGCAAUUGAUAAUUGUAUGUCACAUUUUGGCUCUGUUUGGUAAACAUAACGGAUAACUAUAAGUUCGUUGAUAGCUUAUAGCUGAUAGCUUUUAGCUGAUAGCUUUUAGCUGAUAAAUGUAAAAUGACAUAAAGGGUAUUCUUAAUUCAUAAUAAAAAUUAUAUCAUUAAUUUAAGUAUUUGUAAUUUUGUAAACUAAUUUUUCUUUCAAAAAAUACUUUAAAUUUAUUAAUUUAAUAUAUCCUAUGUAUUAUAAAUUAAAUUAAAUUUUAUUCACUAAAAUUUUAUCUUAUAUUUAUUAUCAUUUAAGUGUUUCCACUUUAUAAAGAAAAUAACAUUUACCUCAAAAAAAAAAAAAAAAAAGGUAGCACUAAUAGAGUAAUACUAAUAACAGAGAAUAAAGAAAAUAACACUUACCUCAAAAAAAAAAAAAAGUAACACUAAUAGAAUAAUAGUAUUUUGUUUCGUAAAAAAAAAAACGAAGGUAUAUAUUUUUUCAAAAAAAAAAAGAAAGAAAAAGGCCAGCUGCUAUAUAUACAAAAAUUGGAAUAAAGGGAUAGUAGUCUUUAUUACGUAGCUUAUUAUAAAAAUUAUAAUGGAUAAAAAUACAAUUUAAAUGAAAUAAUAAGGGUAAAAUUGGAAGAAAAAGUGAGAAGAUAUAAGCUAUAAGCUCAAACGCUACUUGGAAUAGCUUCUGAAAAAUAGCUUAUAAGCUCGUGAAAUAAGCUAUAAACUCAUGGUGAAAAAGUGUUACCAAACAGAGCUUUUUUUGUCAAACGAGCUUAUAAGCUAUAAGCUAAAAGCUAAAAGCUUUUUUUUUGGGUUUCCCAAACAGACCCUUUGGAACCAAGGAAUCACGACAGGUUUGAAUUACGACUGCCCUAGCUCCGGUGUGGCUUUGCCAGCCUCAGCCAUGUUUGACUGACUGGCAGGCAGAGCUAGCGCCUCCAACCCUCAACUUUGGAACCAAGGAAUCACGACAGCUUUCAACAGUGCUCGCACCCACACCUGUUAAGUCUAUUGUCGCUCCUACGGUUCAGAUGACAUCAGUUGCACCUAAGCCCUCGUUUGAUCAGGUCCUACGUGGUAAUACGAUACUGUCUGACCCUCUCCCGGUGCCUUCCAUUCGUGGUGAAAUAUUAUCUGUCAAAAUCACGGAUGAUGUCUAUUUUUGUGAACUAGAUGCUUGCAAAACCAACCUUCGAGGUCGGUUGCUUCUGAACAAAGGAGAUAAGCCUUACUCCUCCAAAGAUCUUGCUGACAAAUUACAGAAGUUGUGGAAAGUGAAGGAGCCAUGAAAUUUGACGUCCCUUGGACAGGGUUAUUAUGAAAUUUUCUUUAAUUCACAAGAGGACAUGCGAACCGUUUGGGUAGACGGUAGUAUUAGCUUGAAGCCAGGCUUACUCGGAUUAUUUGAAUGGACAAAAGACUUCAACAUGCACACGCAACGACAAACUCACACUCAGGUUUGGAUUCGGUUAUGGGAAUUACCACAGGAGUACUGGAUGGAGAGAACCUUAUAUGAGAUCACAGGGGCGGUGGGAACUUCGUUACUCAUUGAUAAUGUGACUAGAAAUAAACUUUAUGGUCAUUAUGCCGCAUUUUGGUUGACAUGGAUCUUUGGAAAGAUAUUUUUAAGGUUCUGUUUGGUUAGAGACGCUUCCAGCUAAGUUGCAUAUUUCUUUCGAGACAGAAUUGGUCUACCCAAUAUAGAUUUCUUUUGUUCUGUUUUUUUUUCUUUUUUUUCCGAGAGUUUUGGCCUAGUCUCCCUUCUUUCUUGUACAUACUUUUUUCCUUUUUUUUUAAUUUUAUUUUAUUGAAUUUAGAGUUUGGCAAAAAUAGGACCGAGGCUUUCCGGGGUGCCAACUUAGUUACGAUGUCGGUGUUGUCUCCUGAUGUCUGACUUUCUCCUGCUGAGCAAAGAAAAAAAAAAGUGCACAAACGUGGAAUGGAAUAAUAAGCAUUACUACAAUUAAAUGUUAAUAUUAAUUUUAAAGGUUAAAUAUGUUUUGGUCCCUGUAAAUAUAUCAAAUUUUUCUUUUAGUCAUUCUAAAAAAUUUCAUUGAUUUUUAAUUUUUUUAAAAUUUUCAAACACCACUUUUGAUUCAUAUUUUUAUGUCAAUUCAUGUAAUUUUUAAUGAAAUUGUGCAGAAAUGUGUAGAAUAUUGUAAACAUUUAUUCGAAAACAUAUUUGAUUUUUUAGAUGUUCAUAUAACAUCACUAAAUUUUAAAGAACCCUAUUUGCAGAGACUAAACACAUUUAUAUUAUUAAGGUGUUGUUAAUUAAGGAGUGCCCCCGAACACUCUUUUAGGAUCACAAGUUUGGAAAAUAUUCUUUCAAAAAAUCAAAUAUUACAAAUUUUAAUACAUUAAUAACAUACAUUUUUAUAAAAAGUUACUACUAUUAAAAGAUCUUAAAAGAAUACUCUUGGAGCAUUGAUCUUAUCAUUUCCCUUAUUUGGAGUAAAGCUCUUAAAACAAAUAAAUUAUUUGGAGUAAAAUUGACUUGGGUCAAUAUGGAUUGAUUAUUAUAUUGCAAUAGACUUGCGUGACUAUCUGUAUUUUGCAUUUUCGAUAAGGAAAGUGUUGACUGAAUGAAAUCAAUACUCCAAAUAUGAACCAUCAAUGGAUAUACGACGUGUUCAUAAAUUUCAGAGGGGACGACAGUCGUAAUAGCUUGGUUUCUCAUCUGUACGCUGCUCUCUCAAACGCGCGAAUCAACACAUUUCUUGACGAUGAGAAGCUUCACAAGGGAUCGGAGCUGCAACCACAACUAUUGAGAGCAAUACAAGGGUCUCAGAUCUGUUUAGUUGUUUUCUCGGAGAAUUACAGUAGAUCUAGUUGGUGUCUUCUUGAACUUGAAAAAAUCAUGGAAAACCGUGGUACUCAUGGUCAAAUAGUUAUACCAAUAUUUUACCAUAUUGAUCCAGCCAUUGUUCGUCGUCAGUUAGGUAAUUUUGGAAAAGCUUUAGAAAUUACAGCUAAAAAAAUGCAAUCAAAAAGGGAGAAGCAAAAACUGUUGUUGCAGACGUGGAAGUCUGCUCUUAGCCAAGCUACAAAUUUAUCUGGCUGGGAUGUCACCUCUUCCAGGUAAAUCAUUUUCUUCUUCUUUUUUUUUUUUAAUAAUUUUAUUUUUUAGAAUCAGAAUGAAUUAAUGUUUUUAAGUUUUUUUUCUUUCACUAUAUUCAUAUUAUAAUUACUGUGUGGUGUGUAAAAAAAAGAAAGAAGCUAGUAUGUGUUAACAAAUGUUUCUGACAAACCAUUUUUUAUAAUAUACGUCAUUUUGGUCACUAUUAUAAAAUUAUAAUACUGAGUUAGCAGAAACAAUGCAUUUUUAUAUGCAGAAAAUGUAAGGAUUAUUCUUCAAUGCAUUGUUUUUAGUCCCAGUUAUUUAUUAAAAUGUAAUGAUUAUUCUUCAAAGUCACACAAAAUUUAGGGAUCAAAAACAUAUUUAACUCUAAAAUAAUUGGGACCCACUAACUAUCACAUCAGCAUUCCGUUGGAGAAUUAACAGCUGAGCCUAAUUUUGAUAACGGAGACAAAAUGUGAGGAUUUUAAAAACAUUAAUGAAAUGUAGGGACUAUUCUUCGAAGGAGCGUAAAAUGUAAGGACUAAAACCAUAUUUAACCCUAAUAUUUACUAGAUCCAAUAGCUUUUCAAAUAAUCUAAUUUUUUUUUUCUUCUUAUAAUAAUAACCGAAUUGUGUAACAUUCUUAUAAACACAUUUAUUUUUUGAAGGAUAUAAACACAUUUAUUUAAAAGUAUAAUUCAAAGUAUAAAAAAGUCGGUCCAAAAUUCCUAUAACUUUAUAUGUUGUUAACUGAUGAUAAUAAUAAUAAUAAUAUUCAUUGAAUUUGAAGGAAUGAAAGUGAACUGGUGCAAAAAAUUGUUGAGGAGGUAUUGGCAAAGCUAGACAACACAUUCAUGCCUCUUCCUGAGCACACGGUUGGACUAGAGUCCCGUGUUGAGAAAAUGGUUCCAUGGAUUGAAAAUAAUUCAACAAAGGUUUGUAUGAUAGGCAUAUGGGGAAUGGGAGGGUUGGGUAAAACUACGGCAGCCAAAGCCAUCUACAAUCAAAUUCAUCGCAAAUUUGUGUACAGAAGUUUCAUCGAAAAUAUUAGAGAAACUUGUGAAAGGGAUAGCAAAGGCGGAUGGCAUAUUUGUUUACAACAACAACUUCUUUCAGAUCUUCUCAAAACAAAGGAGAAGAUACACAACAUUGCCUCUGGGACAAUUGCAAUCAAGAAAAUGCUCUCUGCAAAAAAGGUGCUCAUUGUACUUGAUGAUGUGACCAAAGUAGAGCAGGUAAAAGCCCUAUAUGAAAGUCGUAAGUGGUUUGGUGCAGGAAGUGUAUUAAUUGUUACAAGCAGGGAUGCACACAUACUUAAGUCACUUCAAGUUGACCAUGUCUAUCCAGUUAACGAGAUGGAUCAAAAGGAGUCCCUCGAGCUUUUCAGCUGGCAUGCGUUUAGACAGGCAAGUCCAAGAGCAGACUUCAGUGAGCUCUCAAGUAGUGUAAUUAAGUACUGUGGAGGACUACCCUUGGCUGCUGAAGUCAUCGGAUCUUAUUUAUAUGGCAGGACAAGAGAAGAAUGGACAAGUGUGCUAUCAAAACUAGAGAUAAUUCCUGACCAUCAUGUGCAAGAGAAACUAAGAAUAAGCUACGAUGGUCUAAGUGAUGGUAAGCAAAAGGAUAUAUUUCUUGACAUAUGUUGUUUCUUUAUCGGCAAGGACAGAGCUUAUGUUACUGAGAUUCUAAAUGGCUGUGGACUUUUUGCUAGUAUUGGAAUAUCUGUCCUCAUAGAGCGGAGCCUCUUAAAAGUUGAAAAGAAUAACAAGCUUGGAAUGCAUGAUUUAAUAAGAGACAUGGGAAGAGAAAUUGUUCGUCAAAAUUCAGAAAAAGAUGUUCGCCAAAUUUCAGAAAAAGAUCCAGGGGAGCGUAGUCGGUUGUGGUUUCAGAAAGAUGUACAUGAUGUUUUGACAAAUAAUACUGUAAGAACUUUCUCCAUAUACAAUUUGAAACUUUUGAAUAUCCUCUGUAAUCUUAUGAAAAUUAUAAAGUUCUCUUUGUUAAUGAACUGAUUUGCUCUUCAUAACUAUUUGCUGAAAAAUCUUCAUGUUUGUUACAAGUGUGCUUGGGCCACAGCCCACAUCUGCCGUUUUGUUGCCACUGUUCUAGCAAGUAAACGAAAAACAUUUCCCCUUACUUUUCUUAGUUUUUUCUCUUCACACACAGGGAACAAAAACUGUUGAGGGUUUGGUUUUAAACUUGGAAACAACAAGCAGAGCUAGCUUUAAUACUAGUGCUUUUCAGGAGAUGAAGAAACUGAGACUUUUACAACUUGAUUGUGUUGACCUCACUGGAGAUUUUGGGUUUCUUUCCAAACAACUGAGAUGGGUCAAUUGGCGACAAUCUACCUUCAACCAUGUUCCCAACAACUUUUAUCAAGGAAAUCUAGUUGUUUUUGAAUUAAAAUAUAGCAUGGUUAAACAAGUUUGGAAGGAGACCCCGGUAUAAUAACAUUUUCUUUAAAAUUCAAAUGCUCAUGACAAUAGAAUCUGUUGCCACUCUUUCAUUUCUGAUUUUCAUCUCUAAUUUUUCUUUUAAAUGAUUAUUUUCUUGCAGUUUCUGGACAAGCUAAAAAUUCUCAACCUCAGUCAUUCCAAGUACUUGAAAAACACCCCUAACUUUUCAUUAUUACCGAGUCUAGAAAAGCUCAUUAUGAAGGAUUGUCCAAGUUUGUCCGAGGUACACCCGUCCAUUGGAGAUCUCAAUAAUCUUCUUCUGAUAAAUUUUAAGGAUUGUACAAGUCUUGGCAAUCUACCAAGAGAGAUAUCUCAAUUGAUGUCUGUGACAACUCUCAUACUUGAUGGUUGUUCAAACAUUACUGAAUUGGAAGAAGAUGUAGUGCAAAUGAAAUCCUUGAAAACUCUAAUGGCAGCAAGAACUGGUAUAGAAAAAGCACCUUUUUCCAUAGUUAGUUCGAAAAGCAUUGUUUAUAUAUCCCUGUGUGGAUUUGAAGGAUUUGCACGUGAUGUUUUUCCUUGUCUCAUACGGUCUUGGAUGUCACCAACAAUAAAUUCCUUACCACAUAUCCCUCACAUGUCCUUGGGUGUAGAGAGUAAUGAUUUGCGUUUGGGCAAUCAAUCAUCAACGCUUAGAAGCUGUUCAACACCUAGAAGUGUUUGGGUACAAUGCUGCUCCGAUAUUCAAUUAACUGAAGAAUUAAAAAGAUUACUUAAUGAUCUAAACAGUGUGGAUUUUACUGAAUCAGAAACUUCACAUGCAUUACAAAUCUCAGAUCUAUCAUUGAAAUCUUUUGUUAUUACUCUUGGCAAGAGCUUAUCACAGGUUCCUUCUCUAUCCUUUUAGUCUCACAUGUACUGAUAUCUAUUGUUAAUUAAGAGAACACGAUGAUAUUUUCUGUUUGCAUUUUUUUCUUUAAAUGGUUAAAGUUUCUUGAAGAUACAAAUUUAUUCAGUCAGACGUGUACCAUUGAAGUGAAAUAAUUUUUUAGAUAAUUACACCCUCUUAUUUUUUACUAUACGUGUCAUAUUUUUUAUAAUCAAUCUGGUUUUAUGUCUGGGAUGUUUACCAUUGAAGCAAUCUACUUACUGCAAAAUGUAAUGGAGUGAUAUCGGAUGGAUAAGACUUCCACUUAGUUUUCAUUAAUUUGGAGAAGACAUAGAUAGAGUGCCUAGAGAGAUUUUGUGGAAAACUCUCGACAAGAAAGGGGUUAAGACUGCCUACUUUUGAGCUAUCAAGGAUAUGUGUGGGAGGUUCUCGACUAGUGUGAGGACACAGAGUGGGGUCACAAGAUUUUCCCAUAACAAUAGGACUGCACCAAGGGUCCAUUCCAAGUCCUUAUCCUUUUUACUUUGGUUUUGGGCUUACUUAGGGAGAGGAAAAAGAAAAAUUAUAAGAGAUAGUAUUAAAAACAACAAUUAUUUUUAUGCAAUAAACAAAGCAAAUGAGUUCAAGCACGGUAUAGCUGCUAGGAAAGAAAGGCGUAAUAGAAAAUUAUUCAUAGAGAUAACAAAACCCUCAUCUACUAGAAAAGUUGAGGUUCCUUCCCUUUUCUAAGUCCUAGAUGACAAAACUCUCAACUGAAAUUUAGUGAUAUCAUUAUUAUCUUACAGAUGGAAAUUACCAAAACUUUUAAGUUGAGAUAUUAACUAGCAUAUGGAAAGUGAAAAGAAGUAUAAGAAAAGGUUAAUUAUAACAUGAGAAAAUGGUCAUUGGCCAAUUACAAGUUAAAAUCUGUGUAUGGCAUAUCAGUAUUUCAAGGGUUCUGCAGCUAUUAUAAAAGCAUUCUGCUAUUGAUGUGAGUGUUACAAAACUAUUGCCUCAUUGCUUUAAAUCAGUUUCUGUGUAUAUUUUUAUUUUUAUUUUUCUGUGUAAUGCACUAUUUUUACACUAUAAAUGGCACAAAAAUGUCUAUUAGCAUGAAAUAAUUACACAACUAACUCAACAUAUGUUCAUGAUACAGGGAUUAACAACCACAACCACUGGUUCCAAUGAUUGUUUUGUUCUGGUUAACAAUUAUCCUUCUGGGUUAUCUUAUACAUGUACAGGACCUUCAGUCCGAUUUCGAGUGCCUGAGGAUAGUGAUUGUCACAUGAAGGGAAUUACUUUAUGUGUUGUUUAUUCAUCAACAUUUGAAAACAUGGAAACUGAAUGCCUCGUUGGUGUUUUGAUUAUUAAUUAUACAAAAUUCACUAUCAAUUUAUACAAGCGAGACACAGUAAUGUCCUUUAACGAUGAAGAUUGGCAGGGUGUAAAAUCAAAUUUAGGAGCUGGUGACAAUAUGGAGAUUUUUGUAGCUUUAGGGAAUGGUAUGACUGUUAAAGAAACAGGUGUCCAUCUUGUACAUGGCCAAUCAAGUACUAUGGAAGUUGAGUCGUCGUCAAUGACCAUGGAAGUUGAGCAAUCUAUUAUGGUAAAAAUGGAGCCAUUGCCCGAAGUGGAAGUGCAAACGCAGCCUAAUGUGAAAAUAGAUCCAUCACCUGAAGAGGAAGUACAAUCAUCCCUUGAUGUGAAAAAUGAGGCAUCACUUAUUAUCCAGAAUGAACCAUCACUGGAGCCAUCGCUUACUGUCCAGGACGAGUCAUCACCGAAGCCAAAUGAAAACAUCUUUGCAAAACUUGGAAAGAGAGUUGGUAAAUGUGUAUGCUUGAAACUAUAGAAUAGGGAUCUCAGAAAUUUAUGAUUGCCCAAUUGGGCACACUUUGUCCUAAUAUCGAAAUACCUUCCUAAAUAUUAUCAUCUUAACGACUUUACCUGUAUGUUUUUGUAGGAUACUCAUCUAGUUUUGAACUGCAUUAACUACUUAUUUAUAUAUUACCCAUUUAUCAUGUAAAUGUAAACAAUAAAUAUCAUGACAUCCUCUAAAAAAAAAACAAUUGGAUAGAAAGAUAAACUAAUGAUCUAUCCUGAAGAGGAAACUUAAGAAAAUCGACAUCAUUUGUUUUUAAUACCAUUUCACCAACAUGUGGCACAAUUGGAAAAACAUAUUAGGAGAUGUGAACUCAACUCUUUAAAUGCAUCUCAAUUAUUUUUAUAUAUUAGUUUUCACAGUUAUGUGGGGAUAAACUGGUUUAUCAAAAAAUUAAUACCACUUCUAUUUUUUAAUGCUUUUAAUUUAGUCACUAAAUUUAGGCAGAGAAGACAAUAAAUUAAUGAGAAAUGAUAUUUGUACAUCCAUUUUAUGAUAAUUUUUGUACAAUCUUCUCUCUCAUACUUACAUUAUCUUUUUGGGAGGGAGCUUGGACUAUGCUAAUGUCAGUUUUUAUAUUAGUAGUAUGUGAAACUUCCAUCGUAUUGUUUGAUUCAAUUUAUGUGGUUCUGAAAAUGUUGUUAAGAAAUUCUCAUGCGUGGUAUCCUGCUUUAUGAUUUAAAAAUUUAAAAAAACCAAAAAUCAGUGUCAGAUUUCGAAAAAGUUACUCCCUUCACCCAAGUUAACCCUCCAAGGUCAAUGGGGAAGGCGACGGUGCAGGGAAGGAAUUAGUGAAUAAAAUUGUUAGGUCAUGUAUUGUUUUCGAUCAAAUCGCAAAAACAAAACAUCAACUUUGGCCUGAAGCAUUGAACCCGCUUCCUGAAAUUUAUUUCAGAUUAGACGACUAUCCAUCAAAUUGUUUAGUCCAAAAGCUCUUGAACCGAUCUAUCACCUUGCAUCUAAAAGAGAUUGCAAUCCAAAAAAAUAAAAUUGUAAUAAUAAAAAAUGAGAUUAAAAUAAUCUUUUUGAUAAUUGAAUGUGUGAGGUGAUGUCAUUAUAGAAUUUGAAUGCAUGAAUAUCACAAAAACAUCUCAAAGUGCUUUUUGUUAGUAAUUUUAUGGAUGAAAUUGACUAAUGAAAAACAUUUUCAAGAACCAAGCAAAAAAGAAAGACUUUUGAAGACCAAACUCAAUAAAAAAAAUAUGUAUUUCAAUAAUUUUUAUUAUUUCGAUACAUUUUUUUAUUUGAAUCAGCAACAUUUAUUAGGCUCGGCUAGCACAAGAUGCACUUAACCGGCGAAGGAGGAAAAAGAGUACAAAUAGGCACUACAAAACAGACCGCAGCGCACUACCAAAGACAAACUUGAUAAAAAAAAACCCCUAAGAGCCCAAUUCCAACCAAAGGAGGACUCAAACAACAGCAUAAAAACAACAAGAACGAAAUACAAGUGGAACGCUUAAACAACAAAAAACGCAGGCUGCCAAACACACACAACCACCAACAACAGAAAACAGCUCCCAAAAAAACCAGUCAACAAAAGCUAUCUCACAAGGCACGCCAAAGGGUUCCAACACCAUUCGUAGAAAAGGAAAAGCAGCGCUUUUUAAACGACUUAGACACCACCGCCACGACAAAACUUUAAUAUCAUCCACCAACUCCAUCACCCCCGUCUCCUUAGCAUUGAAAAUUUUAUCAUUCCUUGCCUUUCAUAUCACCUAAAUAGUCGCAUGCCAAAUGAGUCUAAGUCCUCGAAUGAUCUUCUUGUUCGACGAAACCGCAUUCCAACACGCCCAAUGGAUGAACAAGUUUUGAGGAAUGAUGAACAUAAAACCCACCCAAUGGAGAAGUUCUAACCAAACACCUCUCGCAACCUCACAAUGCAUAAAAAGAUGAUUCGUGCUUUCGUUAUCCCUUCCACACAAAACACAACUCAAAUUAAUAUCUGGAGAAAGGGCGUUCCUUCUACGAAGGUUGACACGGGUAGGGAUACGGUCUAACAACAUCUUCCACGAAAGAGCCUGAUAGUACUCAAAAGUAAUAUAUUUCAUGUGUUAAUUUAGGCAUUUUAGUGACUUGUUUUGCAAGUUAUCUAAGGAAAAACUACCAUUUAUCGUAAUUUUGCCAUUUAUGCUUUACAUGUCUUACUCUACUCAAUUUGUGCAGGAAAUGACAAGCAAGGACCAAGAAACCACUUUAUGAGCCAAGCCAAACUCGCUUAAGCGAGAAAGUUCCAGAGAGCAGCCAUCCAUCUCGCUUCUGAGCCGUGGUUUUAUUUCCGAUGCGUUGUUUGGUGAGAACUAUUUAACUCUCGCCCUUGACGAGCUUGUUUGUAUCUUUUCUAUGAUUUAUCUGAAACAUAAUGAUACUUCCACACUUCCAAAGUAACCAACAAAAUAAAUAAUGAAGUUUUAAUCAUAUCCAAUCAUUUUCAAUGGGAAUUAUCUAUUCUUUGUCUUAGCUUACCCAUAAUUUCUACUCUUCUUCAUAUUCUCUUUUAUUUUACUAAAUUCAAAAUCUUUUAAUCCUUUUCUUCUUUCUAUUAGAUUGGAACUAAGUCUUCUACUCUAUGAUACUACUUCUCUUAGAUCAAAAUUCGCUACAUCCCUAUUUAGAUUUGAACUAGCUGGCCCAUUUCAUUCUUUUCUGUUAUACUCCUUCUCUUAACUUGGAAAAAAGCAUCGCCUGCUAUCCUACUUUCUACUUCUCUUCAUGCUCCUAUUAGAAAUUUGAACUAAGUCAUGCAUAUUUUAUUCAUUCUCCUUCUACCGUUCAUCCAUCCCAUGAAGUGUAAAAUGUAGUUGCUGACAUUAUAGGCUAUAGAGAAAUAAUAAGAGCUCACUUAUAUAAAUGAGUUGCACAUAACCACAUAUUAUGUGUAUAUGCACCAAAUAAUAGUUGGAAAAUAGAUAAUAUCGAUUAAAUUGUAUAACCAAAUUUUGUCUCAAAAUAUGAACUCUUAAGUUGUUAUUAAUUACUUUUCAAAUGCCGCAAAUGUAUAAUAAUUUUGACACAUAAAAUCGGAAAGACAGAACCUGAGCGUUAAUUCUCUCUUUUGAAUGAAGUGUUAUGUUACAUAGAAUUAUAGAGUUCUGGUGUCGCCGACUGUGAUCCAGAAGUAUGUCAUUAAUGCACUGCCUGACGCCAACCUUGAUCCUGCAUAAGAUACGCAAAGUCUAGCUUGCAAUUAUUAGCACAACCAUCUCUCAAGAACACCUCUGGAACUAUAAUACAAAUGUGAUAUUCACUAUAGACAAAGCGAAAACAGUAGAAUAUUUAAAUUGAAUGGAAGUUAGUGUCACAGAAAAAGCUUCUACUUGCUGCCAGAGAAGAAACAAAUUUGCAGUAGAGAUAUAUAGUGGAUUUCUAAAUUCUUCUAACUAGUAACUUUAUCCAUAAGAGCAACAUUGUUAAUUUUGACCAUGGGGUAUCGUGAUUUAUAGUCUUGUAAAUCCAACAUCAUUCAAUGAUAUAAUUUGUAAAUUUAUUCGAACUGAAAGACAUGUAUAAAAGGCUAACUUGUGUAGUAAUGAUUUAAAUCAUUGAUGGUGUGACUGUCAUCAACUAACGAAUUUGGUUAAACACGCAUUAAUAUCGAUAAUAUAUAACCUGGAGGAUGUUGUUCUGGUUGCGCGGCGCUUCAUGUGUUUUGAGCGUUAAUCUGAGUUCCUGUAUUUUAGAAAUUGAUAUAUUUUCCUAGCAUUCAAAAGUUGUUAGAUAAUAUAGAUAAUAUCAUCUAUAAACAAGGAAGUCGUUUACACAAUACAGAGGUUGUUUUAGUUUAUCAUUUAAAACUGAAGUGUAUCUAAAAUUGUGCAAAUUUGAUCAAGGACUUGUGGAACUGAUUUAGCUCUAGAUCGAUAGCGACGAGACUGACAUGAAAGCGUUUUACAGGAAAUUCGUUACACCAAGGGUUUUAAUAAAUCAAUCAAACAAUUUCAAAAUUAUGCAAAACAACAGUAGACAGUAGCAAAACUGACAGUUUGCUAUGAGAAGGCUCUCAAGGUUAGUAUUUACAGUCAUAAGCGGGUUGGAUAAACCCUAUAUUCUAGGCAUUUAGUUACUUUGAUAAGAAUAACUAUCAGGGGUUCUAGCUGCUUUUAGAAUGUGCUCAUUCGUGAUGCCUGUAAAGGUGCCACCUUUGCUUGCUUCGAGCCUUUAGAAGGGUGCUUAUGAUCAUCUGAGUCCUUAUGAAGGACAUUGUGUCCUUUAUCCGGGUUUUCCCAGUCCAUUAUGAAAUUAAAGAAAGAAAAAAGGCUUCAAUCAGUCCUUUUCCCAGUCCUUUAUCCUCCUUUGCUUGCUUCGACCCUUUAGAAGGGUGCUUAUGUCACCAGGUACUCAUUUUUUUUGUAUUCCAAAUAUUAAAUUUGUCAUAUAAAAUCUUAUGCUUGGUUUCAUUUCAUGUAUCAGAAUUUAAAGAGGACAUUCUUGUGCAAAUGUGCUGACUCUAGCAUACCAAAGUCUUGGAGUAGUUUAUGGUGACCUAAGUACUUCUCCUCUUUAUGUAUACAAGACCUCAUUCUCAGGGAAAUUGAGCCUUAAAGAAGAUGAUGAAGAAAUUUUUGGGGUGCUUUCAUUUAUCUUUUGGAUAUUUACUAUUAUUGCUCUCUUCAAAUAUGUUUUCAUUGUCAUGUCUGCUGAUGAUGAUGGAGAAGGUACAGUCUUCAAUCAUUGAUGUUGCUUAAGUCUGUCUUCUCAAUUAUAAGAUAUCAUUUUGGAAUAAAUAAAAGGACUAAUAUUGUCUCUCUUAAUUAUAUAUUAGGAUAAAUAGUUAAAUCUUUGUUAGAAUCAAUUGCAGGAGGCACCUUUGCAUUAUACUCACUUCUUUGCAGACAUGCAAGACUAAGCAUUUUGCCUAAUCAGCAACCAACAGAUGAGAAUUUAUCUGCUUAUUCCACAGAAGAUUCUGCCGAUACAUGGCAAUCUUCUCUUUUGAAGCUGUUCUUUGAAAAGCAUCCUAGAUUCCAGAAAGGACUGUUAAUAUUUGUUCUGUUGGGAACUUGCAUGACGAUUGGUGAUGGUGUGAUUACUCCUGCAAUAUCAGGUAGUUUGAUCGGGAGCAGCCCCUCUCAGCUUCUAUUAUUAUGUUUACUUGAUACUUCCUGUACGCUUUGACCUUAAUAUCAGUUCCAGAUUACUUGUUGAACAAGUAUACAGGAGUUUGGUCUUAUAAAAAACAGAAUUGUUUAAAUAUGUGUUUUGUCCCUGUAAAUAGAGCGAAUUUCGGUUUUAGUCCCUAUAAAUACCUUAUUGUUUUCUUUUCAUCCUUACAAAAUCAUGUAUUUGUUUUUUGUCCGUAGUGUCAACUUUCUGUUUAAAAUAACUAACGUGGAAAAUACAAGUAAAUGACAUCCGUUCCAUGUAGAAUAAUUAUGCCACGUGUCAACACCACCACAUCGGGUGAUAGUGAGACAUCAACACUAAUGAACACGUCAUUAAAAACGAGGAGAUAGACAUGGCAUAUCAGCUCCAUGUGUCCGUGCUGAUGUUCAUGCCAGUCGUAGCUCACUAUCAUCCAAUGUGGUUUUGACAUGUGGCAUUGUCAUCCUACGUGGAAAUGAUGGUGUGUACCUUUGUUUACACCAUUAGCUUUUUUAAACCGAAAGUUUAUGCCAGGGACCAAAAAUGAAAACAUUUGAUUUUGCAAGGACUAACCGUAAUAUUUUAAACCAAAAAGAAUUAUGCUAUCCAUCAUUAGCAAUGUCACAGAUACACACAUGCAUUCCUUAAAUUGUAGCUUUAGUUGAUUACUAAUUUCUAGAAUUCAUUAUUUCUCACUAAUGUGAUUAGACAAAAGCACAUUUCACAAUAAAUAAUUGCACUGUUUACCGAAAAUAUACUGUUUCAAGAGUUGAUCCUUAUACAAAGUUCUGUACCAGUUUGUCCGUUUCGGUCUAUGACCAUCCUUUUCGUGUCUCAUUUCAGUAUUUUCAGCAGUUUUAGGAGUUCAAGUUAAGAUCAACCAACUACAUGACAGUAAGCCAACCAAACUUCUAUCAUUACCAUUAUGUCUAUUCAAUGCAUAAUUUUAAAACUCUACCUUAUGUAUUGCGCAGAUUAUGUUGUUAUAGUCUCAUGUAUCAUUUUAGUUGGCCUUUUCUCCAUUCAGCAUCAUGGAACACAUAGAGUUGCCUUCAUGUUUGCCCCAGUUGUUGCAGCAUGGCUUUUGUGCAUCAGUGGUAUUGGUAUAUACAAUAUAUUCCGAUGGAACCGACAAGUAUAUCGUGCACUUUCUCCAGUCUAUAUGUUCAGGUUUCUCAAAACAACUGGCAUUGAAGGAUGGUUGUCAUUAAGUGGAGUGGUGCUUUAGAUAACAGGUAACUAUAAGUUAGUCAAUUUUAUUAUAGUUGUCUAGCUUGUGUUAUUUGAACAACCAAAUUCAGACAAUUUUCGCAAUAACUUUUUAAGUGGUUAACACAGUUCAUGUAAGUGGCUAAUUGCGUUCAGUAGGUGCUUAAUGGACCAUAAGUGAAAACUCAUUGACCAUCAAUUUAACUUCAUCCCAAACUUGUGGUUGAUGAAUUUAUGUUGGUGGUUAAUAAGUUUGGACACCUGAUAUAUCUAUUAAUCAUCUACUAAACAUAAUUAAUCACCUAUUUGAACUAAGUUGAACACUUAAAAAGUCACGAAAAUUGUCUAAAUUUGGUUGUACAACAAAUCAUUUCUCGAUCAGCUACUGUCUUAGGUGUGGAGACAAUGUACGCUGACAUGGGUCAUUUUUCUGCACUCUCAAUAAAGGUAAAUUAAAAGUAUGCAAUAAUUAACAAUGUUGAUCCAAGUAUAUUAGUCUAGCAUACAAAAAUGAAAUCUGAUUUAACAGUUACACGUAAAUCUCAGAUAGCUUUCACAUGUUUAGUAUAUCCCUGCCUGAUUUUGGCAUAUAUGGGUGAGGCUGCAUUUCUCUCUAAGCACCAUUAUGACAUUGAGAGAAGUUUCUACAAAGCCAUACCAGGCAAGAAUUCACUUUAAUAAACAACAAAUAUAUCGAUAUUAUUUAUGAUAACUCUAGGGUAACAGUGCUACUAUUUUUCUGCAGAAGCUGUAUUUUGGCCAGUUUUUAUAGUGGCCACUUUUGAUGCUGUUGUAGGAAGUCAAGCAGUGAUUUCUGCAACUUUUUCCAUCAUAAGCCAAUGUUGUGCUUUAAAUUGUUUUCGAGUCAAGAUUGUUCAUACUUCUAGCAAAAUAUAUGGACAGAUAUAUGUUCCAGAAGUCAAUUGGAUAUUAAUGUGCCUUUGUUUAGCUGUUACAAUUGGCCUUUGGGAUCCAAACAUGAUGGGUCAUGCAUAUGGUAUGAUAUCCUUUUCCAUUGUGUUUAGAUUAAACAAUCAUUUUUAUCCUAAAAUGUGUGAGGUGCUGUCACAUUAGUCUCUAACGUAUCCAAUUAUAAAAAUAAAAUGAAAAACUGCAUAAAUGCGUCUUUCAGUAGUCCGUUUCUUUAUCAAAUGUAUCUUUCAUUAAUUAGUUUAGUUCUCAAAUGUGUCUUCUUGUAGUCAAUUUGGUCCAUAAAAUUACGAACAAAAGACAUGUUUGGGACAUUUUUGUAAUUCGGAUACAAUCAUUACUAUAGUGAUUACGCCUCACACAUUUAGGGAAAAUGACAGUUUAUUCUUAUGUUUACUCAUUAUGAUAUAUGAAGUAUGGAAAACUAAAUUUAAACUACUUUUCUUGGUUUGCAGGGUUGGCUAUCACCACUGUUAUGUUUGUGACAACAUGUUUGAUGACACUAGUAAUUAUAAUGGUUUGGAAACAAGGGAUAAUAAAAGCACUUACAUGUUUCCUAUUGUUUGGAUCUAUUGAACUUCUUUACAUCUCAGCUUCUGUCUGCAAAGUCGCUGAAGGAGGAUGGAUCCCAAUUUUGCUCUCUUUCAUUUUUAUGGCCAUAAUGUUCACAUGGAAUUAUGGAACAAUGAAGAAACACCAAUUUGAUGUUGAAAACAAGGUCUCCAUGAGCAAGAUGGUCCGUGUCCCGGGAAUCGGUCUCAUUUUCAGUAAUCUUGCUUCCGGUAUCCCGGCUAUUUUCGGUCAUUUUAUUACAAAUUUACCAGCAUCCCAUCAGGUUUUAGUUUUCGUAUGUGCUAAAUCAGUCCAAGUCCCUUAUGUCAGUGAAAAUGAAAGAUUAGUCAUCAGCAGGAUUGGUCCGAAGGAAUUCUACAUGUUUCGGUGCAUUGUUCGAUACGGAUACAAUGACAUGCAACAAGAGAAUUACAAUUUUGAAAUUAAAUUGGUAUCUGCAAUAAUACAAUUUAUAGAAAUAGAAGACAGUGUUCCAGAACAAACAAAUGAAUUGACUAUAGAUGAUGGGAGAAACUUAAAUAUGGAAGAUCUUGGUCAGUCACAACACACCUUGAAAUUGAAUUGGUCACAUUCUGAAAAGAAUUGUUUACCAUUUUCAUGCGAUGGCCAACAAGUUCAAGACGAGUCCUAUAAAUUUGAGUCAUUUCAGAUUUUAAGAGCCAAAGAAUUAGGUGUUACUUAUAUAGUUGGGUAUUCCUAUGCAGAGGCAAAAAAAUCAUCUACCAUUUUAAAGAAAUUUGGAAUAGAUGUUGUUUAUGCUUUUCUAAGCAAAAAUUGCAGAGAACCUGAUAUUAUGUUGGAAGUAGCUCAUACUUCUUUGCCAGAAGUUGGUAUGGUUUACCAUGUAUAACUCUAACCUUAUACUGAGGUAUUUGCAUAGAAGAGAAUAGAUAUAGUUUGUAAAUGUUGGUCAUAAACAUUAACAAUGACUUCUAGUAUCUAAGAAUGUAUCAAAAAAUGUUGAUCAUUAGGUUGUAGGUUUUUCAUCAUUGAUCUCUAAAGAGUCUUUGAUUCUGUAUCUAAGAAUGUAAUUCAAAAAGUAGAAUAUAUAUACUUGUACUUUUGUUGAAAUGUAGCUACUGAGAUAUGACACAAUCAUUAAAAUACUUCAUUUAUAUUUACUGAGAUGUUAUUUCCUUUAUUUUCUUCUAUGUAAAUGUAAAUAUUCUCUAUUUUCAUGUAUAUAUUUAUGAUGUAAUUAGAUUGUAAGGUUAUUCUCAAGUUAACCCUUUCAUGAAAAUUUCAUCUGAUCUUGUUGUAUAAAAAUUGUAUUUAUAGUGAACUUAAUGUUCCCUUACUAAUGGCUAACAUAACCAGCACCUGACAUUAUAGAAACUAUAGUUCAGAAUUAGCAAAAAAGGUAAUUAAUACGAUGAUGUUUGAAAAAGAAAAUCAAUUGUCAUUUAAAAAACUUGCCUGCACUCCCAAAGUAGCCAUCAACUAUAUUAUUUGGAAUAUUGCAGUGAUUUGAAUAUACAUGGUCUUAAUAUACAAAUGAUUCUAUAUUAUUCGGCAUACUGUAUUGGAAUCAAUGUUGGUCAAAAGUUUCUUCUUCUUCAGUCUAAUUAAUAUAUAAUUUAGGAAUGUGUUCUAUCUUGUCCCAGUCCUCUCCUAUUCCCUCCUUACAUCGCUCCGUUACAGCUGGGCAACCAUAAAUUGCCAGAACCUCAAGUGAUGUGAGGUGCAGAAUACCUUCUGGCAAGCAUCUCAAUCUUUCACAGAAAGCAAUCUCCAUGGUUCGAAGGGAUCGUAGAGUAGACCUUCAAAAAGUUGUUCCGGUAAUGAAUCAAGCUCACAACAGUGAUGGAUACCAAGAUGCUCCAAAGCUAGGUUGAAGGCUUCACUUGGCAAUGCAUUCACUUAAUUUGGGAAAUCAGAUAUUUCCAAAGUUCGAAGACAGGUCAGGUUUUUCAACAUCCCUUUUGGAAAAUAUGUCACAUCUUCACGUCUAUUAAUCUCAAGGGUAGUUAGGCCGUAGAAACUAGAGAUUGACUCCAGUAACUCAUUGUUACAUCCAUCUACAAUGAGUUCUUUAAAAGAUGAAAGGCAUGGCAACCCAAGUUUAAGGCAACCAACAAUGGCCAACUUAGAAAGGUGGGGAAAAAUCUCCCAUUUCCACUUUCAACAACCGUUCCAAGUUAGGUAAAUUACCUAAAAGCAGAUCCUCCAGAGAUGGGAAACCCCUGACCUCCACACCAUCGCUUGAUUCUUCAUCAUUCACAUACUGCACAUUAUCCAUAUACCAUAAUUGGAGUUUUCUGAGAGAUGGUAAUUUAGCAAGUGAUGGAAGCCAAACACAGUUUCUGCAAUAAGAAAGUGUAAGAACAGCUAAAGUACUUUGAAUUUGGAUCCAACAUGGGAGGUGCAAUCCGUCAUAGCCAUGUAUUUUCAAAAUCUUAAGAUUUGAGUGAGAUUGAAGCACUUCAAGUACUUCCUCGGUGCUAGUAGCAGGUGUCUUGGCUUUACACCUGAUGUUCCAUGAGAAGCAUAUUUCCUGAAGUUCUUUUUUAUCUUGCAAAUUUGCUUCUCGAGCUUCAGACAAACUUCCAACAUUUUCUAGACAUGUAAUGCUUAGUUUUCCUCCUAGCUUUAGAUCAUGUAAUUCUGCCAAGCUGUAUCCAAUCUCUAAACUGGAUCCUGAAUCCUGCCCAAUCUAGAGCCCCCAAUGUUUAGAACUUUCUCACCAAUUUUUUCCCUCCCCUUUGUACAUAACCAGGAAAAUUAUAUUUAAUUAGCCAAGUCAUGUUCAUUUUGCCUUCCACAAUUCAUUUGUGUGUGUGAUUUCGCAAGAUUUGAAAGUGUUUUCUUCCUGAAUUUUGGUUAUUCUUUUCGUAAGUCUUCCUGAAUUUUGUUAAUUUCAUGAUUAUGAUGAUCGUUAUAUGGCAAAUAAGACUUCUGAUGUUACUAGUCGCAAAGCUUUAUACUUCAUAAACUUCACCAUAUCCAUGGUGGAAUCAGAGAAAAUGCAGAAGCUUAAGGAAGAAAAAAGAGAUAAAAUCUCUAGAUUCAUUCAACUGAGAUGAGUUUGUUACAACAUAGCUAUAUAUAGCUGAAUUUAAUCCUAACUAACUGUAACUAACUAUUAGCUAGGAUUAGAAUCAUAGAGAGCUAGUACAUAGUAAAGUUUUAGGGAAUUGCAAGAUAACUUGCUGCGCAAGCUAUCUGUUAGUAGAAAUAAUCACACAGUUUAAUAAUAGUCAUGAUGAUAGAUUGCUUCCUGAUUUUUAUUUCUGAUCUGAGAACUAUCCAUCAAUAUUUUUAGCUCCAGCCGGGGAACAAAUCUAUCACCUUGUCUUCGAAAGAGGUUGAAUUCCAAAAACUACUGGUUUGUUUUUCUUCUGCACAAUUGGAUUUUGAUUUAAAUAUAAACUUCAGAAAACAAAGAUCUCAAGCUAACUGUACUAUUGUGAAAAAUAAACAUCAAAUGGAAAAAUAAGGCUCUAAGAAAAAUUCUUCAGACUGCUCCCUCUCCCCAUGCAAUUACAACUCAGCAGAAGUAUGUAAAGGUUGUGGGGCUGAAGUGUCACUAUUUACAUAAUUUCAUUACCUUUUUUCUUGAUUGAUUUAAAUAUUACAACACAUGACUGAGAUUAUUUAAGUUAGCGUAGCUCUCAAGAUGAGAAAAACCAAAUAAAUUGUGCAUAACCAUGUAUUCUUUGGUGGUUUGAUUGUAAUAAUUUGGACAAGAGGCUAAAGAGCAUUAGUAACAUCUUUGUCUGGUUACAUUUCUGUUGACAAGUCAAUUUUAUAAAUGACAAAAAAAUCUUGUAGUCACUGAUUUUAGCUUCCACAAGGCAAUAAUUUGAUCAAGUGUGAAUUCAAAAAAGUAUUUGUCCCUUUUAAAUAAAUAAUGUAUGUGCAUUGUUUGGAACAACCAAGGCACAAAAUGUAUGAUUAUAAGCUCACCAACAAAAAAACUACACUAGAGGAAUAGGAAAAAGAUUAAUACAAAGAAUCCCUUAUGUCAGCGACAUUAGUACUAGUAGAUAUUGUAAAAUCAGCAACAUCUGUUGUUAGUUGGAAUUAAGUUCGGCUCAUGUGUUGGAUCCUCUCCUUUCAUGCCAACCAUAUCAAUUUUAUAUUCCCUUUUCUCAUUAUUUGAUGGACUAAUAGCUUGUUUACUUCCUUCUUUCGAGAUUAAUUUUUCAGGCCAAAAUACAUUCAGUCCCUUGCCUGUAUGUAUGACCAAAAUACACUCAAUUCCUUUAUAAAAUCUUACCAUACAUCUACAAUAUACUAUUUUUUUUCUUUGCUAUAAGGAUGGAAUUUUAAAUAUGUUUGGUGAAAAAAAAAAUCUGUGAAGGUAAUUAGCAUUAAAAAGUCCUGAAAACCAACUCCAACCACAAGGAGGUGGAGAGAGUAUUACUUUGUUGAAGCAUGCAAUAAAAAGAAAGCCGACUAAAGUUUCGAUAUGUAUGUUAAAAUAAAUCAGUUUGACGAGGCAGAAAAUUCAUGUUAAAGUAUUCACGAAUAUAUGAACUAUGCCUUACCUUGAAAUUAACCAUAACCAGCAAAGAGCUAUCAGUUAAAGGAAAUUGAAAUCUUCAGCAGCAAACUUCAUUCCUAAUAUUGCUUAACAACGUCGCCAAUUCUGGCUAUUGGUGUUUCCCCUGAUCGAACAUGAAACUCCGACUCUUUCAUAAAUGUAUUAUUAUACAUGAAACGGCUAUUUCAUAAAUGAAGGACCAUCACCUGCAUAUUUUCAUGGAUAUAUGUAUUUAAAUUGAAAUAAAGUAAUGUAUGUUAAAAUUAAUACUAUAGGAAUUGAAGAUCUAUACCAUAUCAAUACCAGCAUUAACGAAAGUGGAGACGCGAUAACGAUAAUAUGACCAAUAAGGUUGACAUCUUGAUUUCGCUCAGAUAAAAAUCACAAGUUUCACAUAAAUCAAUUCAAGGAUGUCUUCUUCUUCAUUCCAAUAAACAAUUUUUGGAAUAUGUGGUAUCUUGUCACAUUCCUCUCCUGUUCUCUCCUUACACUCCUUUAAUUUUGGGCAACCACGGAUAUUCAUAAACUCAAGUGAAAUGAGGUGUUAAAUACCUUCUGGCAAGGAUCUGAAUUCGUCGCAUUCAACAAUAUCCAUAUUUCAAAGAGAAAUAAAUGGCACCUGUUCAGUUUCACAGGAGAUGCUCUCUGUAAGUGAUAUGAAUAAUGCUAAUAUACUAAAAUAUAUGGAGUUAAAAGAUGCAAAAUUCACUUUGUUAUCAAAUAAAACAGUUGAUUUCUUGUUCAUAUCAUCCAAAAUCAUCACCUCUUGCUUUCAGGAGAAGCAGUGGACACAACUUGAUCAAUUAACAUUGUCCAACACAAACAUGGUUGGGAUUCAGCAGCAUUCCACAACAUAUCUGACACAAACAUAAUGAAAUAACAUGAGUGUCUCGACUAGAAAAAAUGAAAUACAAUGACACCAUCCUAACAAAGAGCUGUAUACACACCUGCAGAUUUUCUGUCUUUGGUUGGUAACAUGCCAAGCAUCACAGUGCUCCCUUUGGUAAGCAAGAAUGACAAACACAGGGCCUCAUUUCUCACAAUAUGCAUUGGUUGUGACCUGAAUUUUAACUAAAUCAAAAACUCAAUAAAAAAGACAGAAAUACACAAUAAUAACCCGCUGAGUGCCCAAAAACAUGAGCCUUUUUCCAACCUAAAUGACCCAACAAAGUAAUUGUAUCUUUUGCCAUGAUCUUUGUUCUGCACCCAACAAUCAUUCACCAAUUCACCAAUAUUCAAAACUCAACCUAAUUGUAUCUUUUGCCAUGAGCUUUGUUCUGCACCCAACAAUCAUUCACCAAUAUUCAAAUUUCCAUUUCACUCUUUGUAAAUUAUUCAAAUUAAUGUAGCACCAACACUUCAUAUUGAUGAGAUAUGUUUAGACACUGAUAUGACACCAAGUCGUAUAAUUACAUUCAAAAACUUUCAUUUCUUCAAAUUAUUAUUAAAAUUAAGCAAAGAGGAAUCCAAACAAUAUAUCAUUCAAACAAACAAUAUAAAGCAAAUAAAUAAAAAGACCAAUAAAAAAACUUAAGAAUAAAAAUGGAGAAAACCUUAUCAUCAGACUUUCUAUUGUGCACUGAGCUCCGACCCGAACCAUGCCGUCUUCAUCAUUAGGUACGUUUGUUCCUGUUAAUCCCUUUAUUUGUGGACCCCACCCUUGUGUCAAAGGCAAUCCUAACCAUUCAAUUCAAUCUCCACGAAAUCAGCAAAAUUAAAAAUGAAAUCAAAAAUCAAAAAGGAAAUGAAAAAAAAAAUUAAACUAUGAUGAAGAAAAUUACCUGAAUUAGAAUAUUAGAACAUAUCUUUUGGGGGAUACCUUCAAAAGAACUCAACAGAAAAGCCUGCAAAUCAUCCUAUAAUGAGAAUAUAUAACGAUUUUUGAAUAAAAUUCGAGUCAAUUAAUCACUUAAAAUCCAAACAAAAGAAGGGUGUAUUUUAGGGGGAAAUAGAGAUCCUACCAGUAAAAUAGAUUUUUGCGAUGGUGAUUGAGGCAGAUAAGGGUAAACGUCUCUGCUUCUUAAACAUCAAUCAACUCUAUUCUUGGAAUAUGAGCUAUCUUGUCCCAAUCCUCCCCUGUUCCCUCUUUGCAUCGUUCCUUUAAUGUUGGGCAAUCAAUGAUAGACAGAAGCUCAAGAGAAGUGAGGUGUCGAAUACCCUCCGGCAAGCAUCGCAAUCCUCUACAACCCCAAAUCAGUAGAGCUCGAAGGGAUUGAAGACCUUCCCAGUUUUGCUCUGGUAAGGACUCCAAUUGUGGUAAAAAAGUUACAAACAGGGAUUGAAGAGAAGUAAGGUUUUUGAACAUCUCCUCUGGUAAGGAUGUUAUUCCUUCACCACUAUUUAGGGUAAGCUGAGUAAGACCACGGAAGGUAGAGAUUGACCUCAGUAACUCAUUGUUACGUCCAUCGACACCGAGGUCUUUAAGAGAUGGAAGACAUGGCAGUCCAAGUUUAGGGCAUUUCCAGAUAUCCAAACUAGAAAGACAAGGAAACAUCUCCCCUCUUUCCACUUUCAAUAACCCCUCUAUGUUUGGUAACCCAUGUAAUUCGAGUACCUCCAAAGAUGGGAAAGCCCUCACCUCCAUACCAUCCUCAGAUUCAUCAUCAUCCAAGUAUUUCAGAUUAUUCAUACCAUAUACUCUAAGUUUUUUUAGAGAUGGUAGUUUACCAAAUAACGGAAGCCGCACAAUUUUGUUGCAAUCCCCAAGUUUAAGAGAAAUUAAAUUACUAAGAAUAAUUAUCCAACUUGGUAACGAUAAUCCGUCAUAGCAAUUUAUAUCCAAGCACUUGAGAUUUGAGUGAGGUUGAAGCUCUUCGAGUAAUUGCUCAGAUCUAAUUAUAGAUUCCUGUUGCGAUAUCCACGACAAGCAUAAUUCAUGAAGGUCUUUUUUACCCUUCAAAUUAGCCGCUUCAGCUUCAGAUAAACUACCAACAUUGUUUAAUCCUUUGAUACUCAGUUUUCCACCGAGGUUUAGAUCAUGUAACUCUGUCAAGCUAUUUCCUUUCUCUAAACUAACAAUGUACACACUUAAUGUUCUUAGACAAGUUAAUUUUCCAAUGUUGGGAAACAUUCGAAAUAAAGAUCCACAUCCUUCAAUGACUAUAUGUCUAAGAUUUUGUAAGCAAACCAAGCGUUUUGGGAGACAACUCAGUUCACGACAAUAUUUUAUUUUCAAGAUUUCCAGUUUUUGUAAGUUGUAAAUUGAGUUAGGCAACUUUUUUAUAUCAAGAGAACAAAGUUCCAAAUACCUUAAAUGAAUUAAACUCCAUACUGGGCCUUGUAGAGAGGAUGUGCUUAAAACUCGAAGAGAGCUGUUUAAUGGGAAGUGAUCAUGUUUUUUUGGAAUAUAAUUCUCCAAGUCAAACAAUGUUCGUAAGGAUUCAACUUUUUUGAAGGCACCCUCAUCGAAUGAUAACAAAUUUUCAGAGUUAAAACUUAUGUGGUGUGUGUUUUUUGUCAAAUUAGUCAUGUUUGCAUUCUCCAAAUACAUACAUUCUUUCCCCGUUACUGAUUGAGCGAGAUCAUGGACAAGAUCAUGCAUCUUGAAAGAAAUGUCUCCAAAAUAUUCAUCCAUCUUGCUAUCUUGAAAGAAUGAUUUUUGGUACAAUUCCUUCCAAACCAUUUUUCCAACAUCUUCAACGUCCAAAUUACCCAUAGAUGAAAUAAAUUCAUUAGCCAUCCAAAGUCGAAUCAAUUCUUCUUUUAGGAUUUCUCUAUCCUUGGGAAAUAUAGCACAAAAAGAGAAACAUUGCUUUAGGGUUGGUGUUAAAUAAAAGUAACUCAAUCUCAAAGCGGGCAAAAUAGAAUUUUCUUGUGGUAAAGCCCAAAGCUCACUGUCUUUAAUAUCAAGCCAUUCCUUUUCUUCAUUCCUUGAGCUCAUCAAACCCCCCAAUGCUUUUGCUGCAAGAGGCAAUCCAUUACAUUUCUUUACUAUCUCCUUUCCAAUUUCCACAAACUUUGUAUGCUCUUUGUAACGUCUAAAUGCAUGUUGUUUGAACAACAACCAACAGUCACUAUCAGAGAGACCAGACAAACGGUGAGUUUCCCAUGUUCCCAUGAUUGUUGCAACAUCCUCAUCACGAGUGGACACUAAAAUGGAACUACCUUUUGAUCCACACGACAAAACAGAUUUCAAAUGAUCCCAUCUAUCUUGUGUUAACCCAAAUUCCAAUUGUUCAUUUUGAUUCCACACAUCAUCCAAAAUCAGCAAAUAUAUUUUCCCUUGCAACAAUCCUUGCACCUUUCUUUCCAUUACAUCUAAAUCAAAGUCAGCACACUUCUCUCUUGUGAUAGAUUCUAUAAUAGAACACAAAAUCCUUUUGACCGAGAAAGUCUCAGAAACACAAACCCAAAUUUUUUUAUCAAAAUUGCGACUCACCCUAACAUCAUUGUAGAUCAAUUGAACAAGAGUUGUUUUUCCAAUACCACCUAAACCAACAACGGGAUAGACAGAAAUAAAGUCAGAGUCCUUCGCAAGGGUAAGAAGAAACUGGACAAUCUUUUCUUUAUCAUCGUCUCUUCCUAACACUUUUGUUUCAAGAGGGGUGGAGCUGGUUUGGCGCCCUUCAGCAGCUUGAUCUGGGCUUUCCCUAAGAGUUACACCCGUAUGGAGAGAAAACUUGUUCUUACGUUCAGCAAUACGAUCCAACCUCCCUGUAAUCUCUUUCAACCUGUUACCGAUCUUAUGGCGAAACUUUAAAGAUGUGAAUUUUCUCAGUCGACUAGACUUGAUCGAACACUCAUCAAGGAUGUCAUCGAGCACAUAAACAGCAUCUUUGAGGUCUUGUAGCCAUACCUUAAUGAAGUUGUCUUUGACUUGUCUCUUUUCAGCAUCUUCAAGAACAGCCUUGAUGUCAACUAAGGUGGUUGAUAGGUUUUCAGCCUUUGACUUGAUUCCAGAAAUAGUAGAAAAUUCAUUUUGAAGCAGAGAUAUCAAAUUCUCAAACACAACUCCAAGAAAGGGAUCAGCCAUUUUUUGAGAAAAAAAAGAGUUGAAAAGAUAAGAAAAAUGAGAAAUUGGUUUAGAUUGAAAGAGUAAUGAAGUAAACAGAAUGAAGAACUUUGAAAAUAAAUGCAAUGGUAGUAGAAAGUUAGGUGCUGAAUGGUAGUAGUAAUUUUUAAAAUAAAUGAUUUGGAGGAAGCUUCAAUGUACGUUUACCUCUUAAUAUAAAAAAAUAAUAGAAAAAAUUCACUUCAACAUGCGUAAUCCAUAAACAUAAUACUCCCACCGUCCCAAUUUAAUUGAACCAUUUAUUCAUUUCACACUUAUUAAGAAAAAUAUAUUAACGAAGAAGACAGAAAAAUAGUUUUGAGUGUUUUUGUUAAUUAUUGGUCCAUUAUUCUUUAUCAUAAAUGUAAAGUAGAAUAGAUUAUAUCGGAAGUGAUGAAAGUAAAAUAUUAAUUAGAGUUAUAAUUAAAAAAAAGUAAUUAAUAUUGUAUUUAAAAGUGAAAUGACUCAGUUGUUUUGAGAUACUUUUUAUUGAAAAUAACUCAGUUAUUAUGGAAGAAGAAGUAGAAUUUUACGGUGACAGGAAAAAAAACAAGUACCAAAACCGAAACCAUGUCAGAAGCAAUAAGACAAGCGGUGCCUCGGUGGUAGAUUCAUGAACUUGUAAAUUCUUUAUUCAAGAUGUGACCGACCACUUUAACCAAUAAGAUGUGGCCGAUAGAAUAAUGAUCCCUACACAGCACGAUAGCCAGUUGUUUAUGGGUCCAACUCCAACACUUGUUUUAUUGGUGAAAAAAAUAAGUCUUAUCUAUUAUUCUAAUGUUUAGAUAAAAUAAUAUUCCAUCUAUCCCGUGAGUUUUUUUUUUAAGAAAUCUAUCCCGUAAGUUUGAUUCAGUUAGUAAAGGAUAUUGCGUAUUAUAUGUAAGAAUCGGAGUUCGAAACACCAUACUUUUUCACAUUUAAAAUCUAUUAACUUAACUCUAACCACCAAACUACAUAACAAAAAAAAAACAAUAUUAAAAACCAUCUAACUGUCAAAAUUAUAGUUUCAAUUUAAUCAUUUAAUUCAAAAUUAUACUUCUUAUGAUAUCUAUGUUAAGGAGUGGGUAAACACAUCGUAGGCCCCUAUGUUUAAUAGCAGUUUUGAUGGUUGAUCAAUAAACACAUAAAUAUUGCUCACUUUAUUGAAAAAAGCCGAUCCAGAGUUACGAUCUGAUCGUAUUUUACACACAAAAACAAUUGAUCAGAAGUUACGACACGGUUGGAAGCAAAAUUGAGGAGUCUAUCGAACAACUUUAUGAAUUUUAUAUGGCACACAACAGAAGUGGAAAAAGGCACAUGUAACUUAUAAUUUGGUGUUUUCUUUGUUGGAUUUUCAAUUGGACAACUACGAAACAUGGUCACAAGAAGCAUACCUCAUGUUGCAACCGCAGUAAUGCUUUUUGGCUUUGAGCCAACAAUUGCAUAUGGCAAAUGGAUUUGGAGGAGUCAAUUGGGUUUUGAUGGAAAAGAAAAAGGAAAAAAUGUUUGGAUGAUAUGAAAUUGUAUGCUCUAUAUAAUUGGAUUGAGGUGUGUCAUGUGGACCCUAUAGUUUCUUUACAAUUCUAGAGAUAUUUUUAACAUGCAUUAUUAAUAAAUGUCAUUGCUACUUGCAUGCCCAUCACUUGAGAUUGGAUGGCAAACUUAUCCCUAUAGUAAUAAAAAGAUACACAUAGAUAUAUCUUAUCAUAAAAAUAUAAACUACAAUGACCUAAUGUGUGGUACAUUAACACUUCCUGAAAGUAAAUGUUGUAGUUAUUGUUUAUAUUAAACCUUAUCUAUCAAUUUUGAAAUAAUUAUUUUGUCAGGUGAUAUUGGAGGAAAUUUUGUACCUCUAUUUUUAUUAAGAUCACAAAUUCAUUAUUUUUUUCUUUCUAAUAAAUAGUUUUCUUACCAUCAAAUAAGGAAAAAUGUUUUGUUUGAUCCGUGAAACAUUUUUUUUUUAAAGAACAAUACAUAAUACCAAGAGAUGGAUAAGUACAACACAAACAUCAAGCUAUGUCGUGAGUAAUCAAGUUCUGCUAAUAAUAAAAGUGUCUCCAAUAUUUUUGCCCUACAACAUAAGUACAACACAAACACAAAACUCAUGUAUUGAUACAAAAAUCUGCAUAAUUAUGAAGAAUUGCAGGAGCAACCAAGUUCUUUGCUUAUAAUAAAACGAUAGAAAAAAAUAUCCAAGUUAAACUAACCAUUCAUAUUGACAUUACUAACUAAAACGUUGAAUGAUUCAAUUACAACACCUCUUGGCCCGCCUCGGAUCAGCCAUAACAAUCUCAGCAGCUUUCUCAUUAGCCAUAAUUUUCUUCAACUCUGAAGCAUUCUUCUUAGUCUAAGACAUCAAAUUCCGACUAAGACUUAUCAAAUCCUUCUUCCUCUGAAGCAUUAUUCUCGGUCUAAGACAUCAAAAUUAGUUCAAAUCAGCAAAAAGGUAAUAUAAAUCCAAGUAAAAUAAGAACAGUAAAAAUUCACAGUAACAGAGAAGUUAUAAAAGUAAUUACAAUUCCCAUAUUGUACGCAAGCAUUGUCUCCUCAUACUCCUCCUUGAACUUCUCAAACUUAGCAAUGAAUCGAGCCUUAUCCUAAAAUACACAUAAAUCACAAAAACAUUUAAAAACAAAACACGAACUAAGAUUUAUAUCAAUUUUCUUCAGUGAAACAUAGGUGAAAUUCUCACAGCAUCCUAACCUAUUUCAACCUUUAUAUCCAUUCCAUUCCUUUCCACCAACUUUCCCAACCUAAUUCAAAUUCACCGUAAAUCACGUUAGAAAACUCAAUAACAUUCAAAAUUUCCUAAAAAUCAAAUUCAACAGUUAAACAAUAUUGCUUCACAAAACUCACCACGACAAUGGAUUUGUUGCUUGGAUUCUCUUUUCUUAAACCUCUCUCUGAAUUCAGACCUAAAAAUCACAAAACAAAAAUCAUCAGAAUCAAUGGAACUUCAGCAUGUUGCAAAUCAGACACAAAUUUGUAUGGCUGAUUCCAGUACAGGUUUCACUAUAAGAAUUUGUAUACGAUCACUCUAUCAGACACAAAUCAGAUCGAAAUUAUAACUCAACAUCAACAAAAUCUACACCAGAAUCAAGAUUAUCACCAAUGUUAUAGUGAAAACCUAGAAAAAGACCAGAUGUAAUAAGUUUUAUUCUAAAAAACACCAUUGUUUGUUCAAUAAAACAACAAAAUACAAAAUUCACUUAAUUUAACGUUAAAUCAAAUAAACAUAAAUAAACCCAGAUAUUUAAUUCUAAAAUUCACAAAUUAGCAUACAACAAAUUGAAUACCUGGGAAAAUGGAAUUAGGUCAGCAAAAUCAAUGAAUUUUCAUGGGUUAAAACCAACAAAUCUAGAUGUAGAGGAUUUUGAGAUCUGGAUUUGAUGUGAGAUGAAUAUGUUCAUUCUCAACUCACAGUCUUGUGGUGGUUUACGUAAGGUGGCUGGAGCUAGAGGCAAUGACGAUGAAGAAGAGCAGAGCAUCGACUGAGAGAGGAGAAGAGAAGAGCAGUGACCGGAAGAGAAUGAGAGAGAAGAGUCACGUUUUUUUUUUUUGUUAAGAGGCAUUGAGCGUGUGAAAUAUUUGUCAUUUACAAUGUUAAGAGGCAUUGAGCGUUUUUUUUUUUUUUUUUGCAUUGGAACAUUUGUCAUUUACAAUGUUACUUUUAACUUUACAUGGGAACUGCUUUAUUAUACACACAGUUGCACAACCAUAUAAAUGUGCAUGGAAAAUAUACGCACGUUUACAGCUUUGCCAUUGAAAAUGUGCAUCCGAAAUAUGAAAUGCUUUAAAUGUUCUUCAUGUUUGAAUGGUGUACCGCCCUAGCAUAUAGUGAAGAGAUUUGAAAUUUGAAAAUGGCAUUAAAUGUGAUAUUAUUAGCAAAAGUUUCCCGCUCUAAAUCUAGGUUUAGGGUUUUAGAGGUGUUGUGUGCAUUGUACAUUAGGAUUAGAUAAUACUAGGACUAUUACCCGUGCUAACGUCCGGGACAUUAAAAAUGGAGAAGCUAAAAAAGUUCCGAUAUUAUUCAUUACAUAAAAAAUAAAAUAAAUAAACAUAAAAAGUAUUUAAGAGCAUACAAAAUAUUGGGUCACACAUUUUCGAAUAUCUCCUUAUAAACUACAUUUGAAGUGGUGCUGAUACAAUCCCAUUGUCAUCCGUUAAUAAUUUCUUCAGACCAUCCCUUGAUGUCACACGUGAUACUGCAACAUAUAGCUGCCCAUGUGAGACGACCGACUGUGGAAGAUAGAUGCCAACUUGCUAUAGAUCCAAACAGCUGCAACUGCCAACCCUAUAGAUGCUAGCCAGCAGCUGAAACCAACAACUAAAAUGCCAACAACACCAUGACAGCACCCUGAAACCACCAAAAACCUGCACAACACCACCAGAAAAGCUCCCAAAAUGACAGCAGAACCCGCACAAAAUAAAGGAAUUAAACGUAAGGAAUGUUGAAUAACUAAAUAUACUUCGCAAUCAUAUUUUCAAUUUAUAAACACAGAGCGAAGUGGAAAGCACAAUCAUUAAAGGUCAGCAUCAAUGGACAUAUUGGUGUGUUUGAAAAAAAAAUAAACAUAUGAUUUUAAAGUAUCAAUCAAUUUAUUAACAACAUAAUACAUGAUGGUAAAAUCUAUUUAAAUAUCAUCAAUUCACUUACAAACAAACCAAAAAUGUAAUGGAAUAACAAAGUUAGGGAAAAGUUACAGGAACAACGAUUUAGGAUAUAUAUAGUAGCAUCUUCAACACAUAUGGCUGAUACGAUGCCGCAGACGACAACGGCCAAGGUGAUGUCGGAAUCGAGAGCAUUGGUGAAGGGCGACGACAGGAGAGAGCUGCGGCAACGGAGAGAGCGGCAACGACAGAGAAUUUUGUUUGAAUGUCUGAGAGUGAGGUGGAAGAUGAACAACUCAAAGGGCGAAGAGAUUUUUUUUGAGUAAAAGCAAUCUGAAUUCCAACACAUAAAGAAGGAAUAAUGAGAGUGGAGAGAAGAGAACUUUAAAAUGAAGGAGAAAGAGGUGGACAUCGAUAAGUGUGGAGUCAAUUUGGGAAUUGGAGGAUAAUUAAUGAGUCAAAACUUGGAAAAGUGCAUAGGAAAUAUACAUCAAAUUUGAAAAUUUGACUCAGAUUAGAUCAAAGGAUGAGAUGCAUGCUUAGCCAAAUGAUGAGAUCCAACGGCCUCCCUUGUUUUGGAGCCAAAACCAUUUAGGUUUAGGGUUUGCAAUUUCAUUAGCAAUGUUAACAAAGAUUAGAUAUAAGCAUGACUAGGACUAUUACCCGUGCUAACGCCCGGGACAUUAAAAAUGGAAAAGUUAAAAAUGUUCCGAUAUUAUUCAUUACAUAAAAAAUAAAAUAAAUAAACAUAAAAAGUAUUUAAGGGCAUACAAAAUAUUGGGUCACACAUUUUCGAAUAUCUCCUUAUAAACUACAUUUGAAGUGGUCCUUAUACAAUCCCCAUUGUCAUCCGUUAAUAAUAUCUUCAGACCAUCCCUUGAUGUAACACGUGAUAUUGCAACAUAUAGCUGCCCAUGUGAGAAGACCGGUUGUGGAAGAUAGAUGCCAACUUACUUAAGUGAUUGUCCCUGACUUUUGUUUAUAGUCAUUGCAAAACACAAAGCUAUAGGAAACUGUAUGCGUUGAAAUUUGAAAGGAAUUCUGGUAUCAGAUGGUUCAAUGACAAUCUCGGUAUGUAGACCUUCUCUCCAACAUUGCUUCCUGAUAUUACCCUCCCUUCAAUAACAUAUCUUCCCAUCUUAGUGACUAUUAGUCGAGUACCAUUACACAAACCUGCUGUUAUGUCCAAAUUUCUCAACAACAUAAUAGGAACUCCAACUUUCAAAGUAAUCUUGUGAUUAGGAAGACCCGAUGAAUUGAUUGUGUUCAAGAAUUCUGGUAUGUGAAUAUCAUCUGGCCUAUUGACUGAUGCGAUAUCUGCUAUUACAGAAUCACAACUCAAAUAUGUCCUUUCUUCGCCGGGAAUGAGAGACAAAACAUAGUUAUUAACCUCAUCAACAAUUGUAUUUUUAGGAGUCAAUAUUGCUUUAUCUUGAAAAAAAGAUGUAUCAUGCAUAUUGAGUAAUAUUGACGGAUAGAUGCAGUCAACAAUUGAAGCAAUAUGAUCACUUGCGCUAUUAACGAGUAGAUCAUCUGGGAUUUCCACCUGAAUGCUAUCAUCUCCAAUCCCUAAUACCCAUUUGGCGAAUUCUGUUCUUUCUUGUACCUCAUUUGGUGAACAUCCAUGCAAAAGUCUCAUAUUCGUUGUUAAUGUUAAUACCUCACAAUGUCGCCAAAGUUUUGACGAAUUAAUACUUGUAUAAACGACAUCUGGUCUGGUGCCUUUAGGAACGACUGGUAGAAUCUGUCGAAAAUCUCCACCAAGAACCACAACUUUACCACCAAAAGGAAUGUCUGUCCUCCUGUUAUUAUGAUCUUUAAGGACAUCCCUUAAGGUGCGAUCAAGAGCUUCAAAGCAAUGUUUGUGCAUCAUAGGUGCUUCGUCCCAGAUGAUUAGUUUUGCUCGUAUAAUCAAUUGUGCCAACGGACUUUUAGGCUUUAUAGUGCAAGUCGAACAUUCGUCCACAUUGAAAGGAAUGCAAAACCUUGAGUGUGCUGUUCUUCCGCCAGGGAUAAGCAAUGCGGCAAUACCGCUGGAUGCAACUGUCAACACAAUUUCACCCUUCGAAUGCAAUGCUGAUGACAAAGCUCUCCAAAUAAAUGUUUUACCUACAUUAAGGAACCUAAUUAGAUUAAUAUCAUACACUUGCCAAUAUAUAUUUCUCACCGGAAUUUAACAAAAUAAUCAAUUGUUGUAAACUACUAUAUUUCAAGUAUAGAUCUGAUGCAAAAUUGUUGUACUAUUAUGCUAAUAUAUACCAUCAAAAUAAAAAUUUGAUAAAACAAUAAUUUUCCCAGCCAAAGACUACAAUAAUGAUUAUUACAAAUUUUUUUGAAUGUUAUUAAAACGAUAUAUUUUAAUAGGCAGCAAUGUGAAAUUUAAAAAACCAAGAUGAGCUUCGAAAACAAACACGUGAUAGAUAUUAUUGAAGUAGCAAUAAACGUCACAAGAAAGGGGGGGUUUGAAUUGUGACCCUUUUAAAAAUUAUUCCUGAAACUUAAUUUUAGAUUUAUAUACUCAAGAAUAAUCUUGGUGAAUGUUAGUUUAUCAAGAUUAGAGUAUAUAACAAUUAAUUGAAUUAGAACAGAACGUUCUGAAGAAUGAUUAUAAACAGAAUGAGAAAAAUGAAGUUAAGUUAAAAGAUUAUUUUAGCAAGGACCAGAAUGUUCUGGAGAUUAAUAAAAUAAUGUGUGUGUGUUGUGUAACUUUAAAUAAAGAGAGAGAGAGAGAGAGAGAGAGAGAGAGAGAGAGAGAGAGAGAGAGAGAGAGAGAGAGAGAGAGAGAGAGAGAGAGAGAGAGAGAGAGAGAGAAAUAACACAGGAGAGUUAUCCUGAUUCACCAAACCCGGCUACUUCCAGUCCCCACACCUCGUGUGAGAUUAUCCACUAUAGUUUUCUUGCUAACAGAAACUUCUGACUAGCACUACAAUUUCUUGAUCACACCAGAUCAGUCCAUAACACCUGUAUUAUCAACCUCAGCAGGCUUAUACAAUUCUUUGCACACUAGCAAAAGAAAGGUUGGAAUUUUCUAUCUCAAAACUAUUAAGCCCAAUAGACUUUGAGAAAUACAACACACUUUGUAUGAAGAGAUUUGUUUGGAUAGAAUAAAUACUCAAAUCUUUGUUUGAGUUUUACAAGAGGCAAAUUCAAGAGAGAUGAUCCAAGAGAUAUAGUGAGAGAGCUUGGAAUUUGCUUUGUAUGUGAAGAGCUUUGUUUGUAGUGAUGAUUUUCACUUUGAGAGAUAUUAGCUUUCAAAACUCUUGCUUAUGACCUUCAAAGGCCCUUGUAUUUAUAGGUGAGGAGUGUCUUGGUGACCAAGGGAGAAAAUAGAGCUGUUGGACACGUUUUUGAUAGCUGUCCAAAGUCUCAUUUGAUUUCUCUUUUCUUCUUAAAAAUAGCCAGAACGUUCUCAGAAUGUUCUUUCUGAUUUGCCUGACUUUGAAAGCACUGUUGCUUUGCUUGCGCAUGAGAUAACCAGCUGUAAUGAGCUGUAUAACUUGCAGCCCACUUCUGAUGAUGUCAUGUCCUUUUGCUCUAGUGAUGUCAUGCUUAAGUAAGCCAUGUGAUCUUAUCCAUUUAAUGGGCUUUACUUUUCCAAAUGGGCUUAAAGCUUUUCUUAUGGCCCAAUAGACAUAAUCAGCCAAGCUUUCUUGCUGUGCAGACUUGUUCGCUUUUGAUGUACUGUUCCUUUUUCAUCGUUUUCGCCAGAACGUUCUCAUUUCAUUCUCAUGAAACAAAUUCUCACAAAAACGAAUUAGUAGAUAACAAGAUUAAAUAAAUAUAAUAUGUUUGUAAUCUUUAAAACAUCAAAUAAGGAUUUUGUCUCAACAAUCUCCCCCUUUUUGAUGAUGACAAACAUUUAUAAUUUAUUUUGAUUUUGAUUUUGAGUUUUUGAAAAAUUUGUUAAAAACUCCCCCUCAAUUUUAGCAACCAAAAUUUUGUGCCAUUUUGAGAGUUUUCCAGAAUUUGUUUAUGGACAAUUGAGUUUGAUAAUUUUAUCAAAGAACUCCCCCUCAAUUCAUGCAUUCAAGAUUUAAUAUGCAAAAUGAGAAUAUAGAACAUAAACAACAUAAUUCAUAAAUCAUGAAGAUCAUUACAAGGUAUCAAACCUAGCAUUUCAAAACAUCAAAAAGCAUUGUUCAUAUGCGCACAUACUAGCAGCAAUUUGAUCCUUAGUUAAUCAUGAUCAAAAGACAUAAACAGAGAAAUAAAAACAGAGUUUUUUUUAAACAUCAAAAUACUUAAACAUAAACAGCAGCAUAGUGAUCUAUUCUUCCCUAGAUCCUAACUGUUUUCCUGGUCCUCCUAACUCAUAAUCCCCUAAAUCAUCUCCCCCUUUGUCAUCAUGAAAAGGGGCAGCAGCAGCAGUAGGUGGAAUGGUUGGAGAAGAAGCAUCAGAUGAUGAAGAGAUAGUAGGCAUGAACAUGGGAUACAUAGGAACUGGGAAUGGGUUUUGUUCUGGUCUAGCAAACUCAUUCUUGUCACUUAUGGAGUCCUUCCACUCCUGACAGAGACUCUCACGCGUCUUUGUUCUUUUGCCUUUCCUUNNNNNNNNNNNNNNNNNNNNNNNNNNNNNNNNNNNNNNNNNNNNNNNNNNGAAGAGACUUAAGGGAAUCCAUUUGGACAGAUGAAUCAAAAGCUUGUGGAGCAAAUAAUUUGUCCACUGAAUCACAUUGAAACAAAGCAGAAUAAUCAUGCUUUUGAGGAGAGAUAAACAAUUUUGAAGGUUUUGUGAUUAUGGUUUUUUCAGUGAAACUUUGAAGAAUUUCUGAAGCUUUGACUUUUGACAGAGAAGCAUGAUUGCCAAAGUUUUCAAGCAGUUCCUGAUCUUCCUCCAUCACAGGAGAACGUUCUGAAGAACGUUCUGGAGGAUUGCAGUGUUCAUCAGAAGCAUUUUAUGGAACUGGAUUCUGCAGAUCAGGCCCAUCUUCCCUCUUUCUUUUGAGGUCAGAAGGAGGCUCAUCAACAGGUUCCUGCUUCAUGUGACUCAGAUUUUUUGGAGUAAAUUGAGAAUACUCAAAAACAGAUUUUUCACCUUCAAAAGGAAUAUGAUUCUUAAUGAAGAUUUUGGUAAGAGCCAUUCCAUAAGGAAGACAAGAUUUUUUGUUACGAGACUGAAUAACAUUGAUCAUGUUAUGAAUAAUGAUAUGAGGCAGACUCAAUUUUUCUUUCAUUAAGAGAUGAUACAUGACCAAGAGAUCAUUUGAACUAACAUGUUGAAAAUUACCAUUUCUAGGCAAGACACAAUGUUGGCUUAUGCCAUUCAGCAUUUUUGGGGUUGGCAGAAGGUUCGAAGAAACAAACUCAGUGACAUUUGGUUUGAAAAGGAGUUUGUAAACAUUUUCAGAAUUGACUUCAAGUUUUUCAAACCAAUCAUCACCAAAGACAGUUUGACCAGAAUUUGAGAUACCAAGAGUAUCAGAGAUUACCUGUGGAGUGAGACGUAUCUCAACAUCCUUAAUCCUAGACACUAUUAAGCUUUCCUCAGGGUAUGCUUCUGCCAUGAAAUAGAAAGCUUGGACAAGCUUUGGGUAGUGUCUCUCACGAAGCUGUAGAAAUUUGGUCCAGCCUUGCUCAUCAACAUACUCCUUAAGAACGACUUUGUCUUUUUCCAGCUUGACAAAAUCAUAAUACCUUCCAAUUCCAAUUGACCUAUUUCCCCAUUUUUCUUUGAAAUCCUUUUUCAGAGAAGGAUCAAACAGAGGUACUCUCUUUCCUGUAGAGAUAUGAAUGAUCUUCUGUUUUGAAGGAUUUUUGGGCUUUGGAGAACAUUCUGGAGAAUAAUCUGAAGAGAGUUCAUAGUCUUUAUCAGAAAGACUUUCUGAAGAACGUUCUGGAGAACGUUCUGGUUGAGCAGUUUGCUUCUGCUUUCCUUUGUCCUUCACAGUUGGUUUAGGCUUUGGUUUUGGUACAGAAACCUUGAUAGGAGGUUUAGAGACCUUUUUGUUACUCUUAGGUUUGGGCUUAAGAGGAGAAGGAGUUUUCUCAGCCAAAGGGGUAGUUGGUUCAGUUUCUUCAUCUGAAUCAGAGAUUUCAUGUACAGUUGUGUCUACACUGUUGGUUUUCUUUGUUCCAACUGCAGAACGAAGCCUUUGAGAUUUUCUAGGUCUUGGAUUAGGAGCAGAUUUAGCCUUCUUGGGAGGCAACUUCCUUUUGGUCAUGUUCCUGAGAUGAGGAGCCAUUUUGUUCAAGUUUGGAGGUUCCUGAGGAGCGGUUGGUUGAUCUUCAACACCUACUCUUGGUGUGUUGAGAUUUAGGUUGACCGAAGUUGGUUGUGGUUCAACGUAGAGUACCAUCGCGAGAGGAUGGAAGGAUUCAGGGUCAGGGAUGAAAGGAAGUUCUUCGUCGUUUUUCAAUGGAGUUUUUUCUGGUGUGGUUUCGGUGGUGAGAUAACCAUCUUGCAUGAUUGGUUCUGUGGAGUUAUUGAGCGGAGAUUGUGGUGGAGUUUCGAAUGGAGUGGUUUCCUUGGUUGGUGAUGGAGUUGAAUCGAACAGAGGAGGAGAUGACAGCGGUUUUGUCACCGGAGGAGAUGGUGGAGAAGGAGAACGGGUUGGUGAAGGUGAAGGAGAAGAGUCAUCUGGGUUAGUGUUUCCGGUUCCUUUGGUUCUAGCCAUUUUGUGAUGAAGAAAAUGGUGGUUGAGAGAAGAAGAAGAGACGGUUUGAAGAAGGAAGAAAGUGGGAGUUUAGAGAGAAAAAGUGAAAACCGGUUUUGGGAGAAGGAAAAAGGUAAGAAGUGACUAUUAGUGGUUUAAUGAUGAGAGAGAGGACAAGAGCAUUAAUGAGCUGUAAGAGAUUUCUUGGUAAUUAAAUUUCUACCUAGAGAUUAGCUUAAAUAGAACUAAGCUGAAAGGACAAGGUUGAGGCGUGACCCUCAAGCCAGUCUUUGGGAGACAUUUUUCAAAGAAUGUUUUCAGAACAUUCUGAUGAAGAGAGACUCUUCCUAUUUUAAUCCUUUGCAAGGAUUUUGAAUAAUAUGCAAUUUUUCUUUAAUGAAAUUAAAGUGAUCCUCAACUAAAGGUUUAGUAAAGAUAUCAGCUAAUUGAUUUUUUGUAUCAACAAAAAUCAAUUCAAUUUCCUUUUUAUUGACAUGAUCCCUAAUGAAAUGAUGUUUUAUUUCAAUAUGUUUUGAUCUUGAAUGUUGAAUGGGAUUCUUUGAUAAAUUUAUUGCACUUGUAUUGUCACAAAAUACUGGAAUAUUUGUGUACCUUAUUGAGAAAUCUUCAAGUUGAUUUUUAAUCCAGAGAACUUGAGAACAACAGUUGGCUGCUGACACAUAUUCUGCUUCUGUAGUUGACAGAGCUAUAGUGUUCUGCUUUCUGCAUGACCAACUUAUGAGUGCAUUCCCAAGAAACUGACAUGCUCCACUUGUACUUUUUCUUUCUAUUCUGUCUCCAGCAUAGUCAUCAUCACAGUAUGCUAUAAGAUCAAAACAAGACCCUUUGCUAUACCAAAGGCCAAGAUCAGUAGUACCUACUAGAUAUCUGAAAAUUCUUUUUACAGCAGUUAAAUGAGAUUCCCUUGGAGAGGUUUGAAAACGUGCACAUAAACCAACAGCAAAAACAAUAUCUGGUCUGCUAGCAGUUAAGUACAACAGAGAUCCAAUCAUACCUCUGUAUUCUUUUUCAGAAAUGGUUUUUCCAUUUUCAUCCUUAUCUAAAUUAGAUGUUGGAUGCAUGGGAGUUGCCAUUAUUUUGGCUUCAUUCAUUUUAUAUUUUUUAAGAAGAUCUCUUAUAUAUUUUUCUUGACAAAUAAAAAUGCCAUUUGAUUCUUGCUUAAUUUGCAAGCCAAGAAAGAAUCUUAAUUCUCCCAUCAUACUCAUUUCGAAUUCACUUUGCAUGAGAUUUGAAAAAUCAUCACACAUUUUUUCAUUUGUUGAACCGAAUAUGAUAUCAUCAACAUAAAUUUGAACAAUUAAAAAAUUUGUUUUGUCAUUUUUUCUAAAAAGGGUUGUAUCAAUUUUUCCUCUAGAAAAAUCAUUUUUGAUUAAGAAUGGACUUAACCUUUCAUACCAAGCUCGAGGAGCUUGUUUAAGACCAUAUAGUGCUUUUGUGAGUUUAAACACAUGAUUAGGUUUGUUUGUGUUCUCAAAACCAGGAGGUUGAUGAACAUAAACUUCCUCAUUUAAAAAUCCAUUUAAAAAGGCACUUUUGACAUCCAUUUGAAAUAAUUUAAUAUUUUUAUGAGAUGCAUAUGCAAGAAGAAUUCUAAUUGCUUCUAACCUGGCUACCGGAGCAAAGGUUUCAUCGUAAUCAAUACCUUCUUGUUGAUUGUACCCUUGAGCUACCAAUCUAGCUUUGUUUCUGAUAACUUUUCCUUCUUCAUUUAGUUUAUUUCUAAAUACCCAUCUUGUUCCAAUGAUGGAUUGAUUUUGAGGUUUAGGAACAAGAUUCCAUACUUCAUUCUUUUCAAAUUGAGAGCGUUCUUCUUCCAUGGCUUUUACCCAUGAUUCUUCACAUAUUGCUUCUUGUAUAUUUUUUGGUUCAAUGUGAGAAAUCAUUGCCAUGUUGACAUCAUUAUUCAUAAAUGAUCGUCUUGUUCUUAUUCCAUCAGAUGUGUCUCCAACGAUUUGUUCAGGAGGAUGAUCACCGACGGUUUUCCAGCUUUUUGGAAGAACUUGAGAAGAAUGUUCUUGAGAAUCAUUACUUUCUUUUUGAGGAAUUUCUUCUUCAUCUUCUUUGUUGAUUAUCAAGUCAUCAAACUCAUCAAAAAUAACAUGCAUGCUUAUUUCCAUGGUUUGAUUUUUCAAAUUAUAAAUUCUAUAUCCUUUGGAGUUUGUUGCAUAUCCUAAGAAUAUUCCUUUAUCUGAUUUUGAAUCAAAUUUUCCUAGAUUUUCUUUAUCAUUUAAAAUAUAACAAUAACAUCCAAAAAUAUGAAAAUAUGAGAUGUUAGGUUUUAUAUUUUUCCAGAGUUCGUAUGGGGUUUUGUUUAAAACUUUUCUAAUUGAAACCCUGUUUAUGAUAUAACAAGAAGUAUUUAUGGCUUCAGCCCAAAAGUAUUUUUCUACAUUUGAUUCAUUUAACAUUGUUCUUGCCAUUUCUUGGAGUGUUCUAUUUUUUCUUUCAACAACUCCAUUUUGUUGUGGAGUUCUUGCACAUGAAAAAUUAUGAGAAAUUCCUUUUUCAUCAAAGAAGUUUUUAAAGAAAGCAUUUUCAAAUUCUCCUCCAUGAUCACUUCUUACUGAAAUGAUUUUUGAUUCUUUUUCAUUUUGAACUAAUGUGCAAAAAGUUUUGAAUGCUUCACAAGCUUCAUCUUUAUGUUUUAAAAAUAGAACCCAUGUAUAUCUGGAAAAAUCAUCAACUAUAACAAACCCAUAUUGUUUUCCACUUAGACUGGCGGUUUUAACAGGACCAAAUAGAUCUAUGUGAAGUAGUUCAAGAGGUCUCUUAGUUGAAACAAAAUCAUUUGUUUUAAAACUGCUUUUAACUUGUUUACCUCUUGUACAAGCUUCGCAUAUUCUAUCUUUUUCAAAAUCAAUUUUUGGAAGUCCUCUUACAAGAUCCAGUUUGGCGAUUUUUGAAAUAGUUUUCAUACUUAUAUGUCCAGCUCUUUUGUGCCAAAUCCAUUUAUCUUUUUCAAGUGUCAUAAAACAUGUUUCUGCUGGAAUAUCAUCUAAGUAUAAAGCAUAUAGGUUUUUCUUUCUAGAAGCGGUAAAGAAAAUCUUACCUGAGGAUGUAUGUUUUACAAUACAUGUAUUAGGUUUGAAAAUAACUUCAAAGCCACUAUCACAUAAUUGACUUAUGCUUAGUAGAUUGUGUUUUAAACCUUCAACAUAUUGAACAUCCUCAAUUUUUGCAGAGUCUUUUUUACCAAUAAUACCUUUACCUUUAAUUUGUCCUUUGUCAUUAUUGCCAAAGGUUACUAGACCUCCUUCCUUUUUUGUGAAGGAGAUGAAGCAUUGUUUAUCCCCAGUCAUGUGUCUAGAACAACCACUGUCCAAGUACCAUGGCUUUGUUCUUGCAUCUUGUGAGGAUCCCUGCAUUUUGAGUUAGUGGUUCCUUAGGUACCCAUGAAGAUGUGGGUCCUUUGUGGUUAGUUUCUUUGGUCUCAAGAUGUUUAAUCUUGAGAAAACAGUUUAAUUCUAGAUGACCUAAUCUCUUACAAUAUGAGCAUUCUUUUCUUUUUAAUGAGAAAGAAUGUUCUGGAGAAUGUUCUGAGAUAGAUGGUUCUUCUUUAAUUUCUAGUUUUCUCUUUUUAUGAAAACAGACUGAUUCAUGAUGUCCCCUUUUAUUACAGAAAGAACAUUUUAGUUUUUGUGGUAUAAGAACCUUUUCAUAAAUUUGAUUAAAACCUAAACCAGUUUUGUCAAAUUCUGCCAUUUGUGAACCCACAAUUUUUUGAAAUGUUUCUGUUGAUUUUAUAAACUGUGAAAGAUCAUUUCUAAGUUCUUUGACUUCCUUUUUAAGAAUAACAUUUUCAUUUUUAGAAAUUUCAGGAAGUUUUGUUUUUCCAAAAGCUUUUAAUUUUUCAGCUGCUUGAAAAUAAGAAUCUUGUAGACUUUGAAUGAUUUUCUUUUGAUCAUUAUUCAAAGUUUGAAGUUUCUCUUUUUCUUCUUUUAACUCAGAAAUUUCUUUUUGUAAAGAGUGACAUUUGUUUGUUAAGAAAUUUGAGUCAAAUAAAAGACUAUCAAAUUUAUUUUCUAACUCUUUAUAUACUAGAGGUUGGUUGAUAAGAAUUACCUCUUCGUUUUCUGAAUCUGCCAUUAGAACCAUGUUGGCUUCAGUGUCUUCAUCUUUUGAUUCUUCAAGAUCAUCCCAUGUAAACAUUGAUUUUGAGUAGGGAGAUUUUUUCUGACUCUUUUUGUUUAAUGGACAUUCGUUUUUGUAAUGUCUUAAUUUGUUGCAUCCAAAGCAGGUUACUUGACUUUUGUCAACUUCUCCUUUUGAGUUAUCUUUCUUGUUAGGAAAGUAUUUCUUUAUUUGAUCUCUUCUUCUCAUCAUUCUUUGAAUCUUCUUUGUGAUGAGAGCUAGUUCGUCUUCUGCUUCACCUUGGAUGUUUUCUUCUUCAUUGGUUUCUUUAAUUUCUUCGCUUUGUGAAAAGACAUCUUCUUGUUCACUUUGAGAUGCUUUGAGAGCAACCAUCUUUCCUUUCCUUGAUGGUUUAUCAUCUUGCAGCAGCGUCUCAUGAGCUUUUAAUGACCCAAUGAGAUCUUCAAGAGCUAAAGAGUUUAAGUCUUUAGCUUGUGUGAUUGCAGUUACCAUGGGUCUCCAUGUGCUUGGAAGACAUCUUAAGAUUUUUCUUAUCCGAUCAUGAGUGGUAUAAGUUUUUCCAAGUGAUCUUAAUUCAUUCACAAUAGAUGUGAAUCUGGAGUACAUUUCAUCAAUGUUCUCAUCUUCGUUCAUUUCGAAGAUUUCAAAUUUUCUUACGCCAAUGUCUAUUCUUGUUUCUUUUACAUGGCUAGUUCCUUCAUGAUGAAUUUUUAGAGUGUCCCACACUUCUUUUGCAGUCACACAUUCAUCAACUCUUUCACUUUCUUCCAUGCUUAGUGCGCAUGAUAGAAAGAGUCGAGCUUUAGAGUUUAGAAGUACUUUUUCUUUAUCUUCUUUUGACCAUGAUGCUUCUGGUGUGAGUGUCUCCACCUUUGUUGUUGCAUCGGUUGUCAUAGGUAUGUGUUCUCCAUUUGUGAUUAUUUUCCACAUAUCCACAUCUUGGGAUCUAAGGAAUAGUUCCAUUUUUCCUUUCCAGAAAUAAUAGUUCUUUCCAUUGAAGAAUGGUGGUCUUGUGCAUGAUAGACCUUCUGGUAUAUACUUUUCUUUUGACAUUGCCUUCUUCCUGAAUCUUUUCCUCCAACACUUGUUAGGUGUUUUUGUAGAGCCCGAGCUCUGAUACCAAUUGAAGUAGCAAUAAACGUCACAAGAAAGGGGGGGGGGUUUGAAUUGUGACCCUUUUAAAAAUUAUUCCUGAAACUUAAUUUUAGAUUUAUAUACUCAAGAAUAAUCUUGGUGAAUGUUAGUUUAUCAAGAUUAGAGUAUAUAACAAUUAAUUGAAUUAGAAUAGAACGUUCUGAAGAAUGAUUAUAAACAGAAUGAGAAAAAUGAAGUUAAGUUAAAAGAUUAUUUUAGCAAGGACCAGAAUGUUCUGGAGAUUAAUAAAAUAAUGUGUGUGUGUUGUGUAACUUUAAAUAAAGAGAGAGAGAGAGAGAGAGAGAGAGAGAGAGAGAGAGAGAGAGAGAGAGAGAAAGAGAAAAAUAACACAGGAGAGUUAUCCUGGUUCACCAAACCCGGCUACUUCCAGUCCCCACACCUCGUGUGAGAUUAUCCACUAUAGUUUUCUUGCUAACAGAAACUUCUGACUAGCACUACAAUUUCUUGAUCACACCAGAUCAGUCCGUAACACCUGUAUUAUCAACCUCAGCAGGCUUAUACAAUUCUUUGCACACUAGCAAAAGAAAGGUUGGAAUUUUCUAUCUCAAAACUAUUAAGCCCAAUAGACUUUGAGAAAUACAACACACUUUGUAUGAAGAGAUUUGUUUGGAUAGAAUAAAUACUCAAAUCUUUGUUUGAGUUUUACAAGAGGCAAAUUCAAGAGAGAUGAUCCAAGAGAUAUAGUGAGAGAGCUUGGAAUUUGCUUUGUAUGUGAAGAGCUUUGUUUGUAGUGAUGAUUUUCACUUUGAGAGAUAUUAGCUUUCAAAACUCUUGCUUAUGACCUUCAAAGGCCCUUGUAUUUAUAGGUGAGGAGUGUCUUGGUGACCAAGGGAGAAAAUAGAGCUGUUGGACACGUUUUUGAUAGCUGUCCAAAGUCUCAUUUGAUUUCUCUUUUCUUCUUAAAAAUAGCCAGAACGUUCUCAGAAUGUUCUUUCUGAUUUGCCUGACUUUGAAAGCACUGUUGCUUUGCUUGCGCAUGAGAUAACCAGCUGUAAUGAGCUGUAUAACUUGCAGCCCACUUCUGAUGAUGUCAUGUCCUUUUGCUCUAGUGAUGUCAUGCUUAAGUAAGCCAUGUGAUCUUAUCCAUUUAAUGGGCUUUACUUUUCCAAAUGGGCUUAAAGCUUUUCUUAUGGCCCAAUAGACAUAAUCAGCCAAGCUUUCUUGCUGUGCAGACUUGUUCGCUUUUGAUGUACUGUUCCUUUUUCAUCGUUUUCGCCAGAACGUUCUCAUUUCAUUCUCAUGAAACAAAUUCUCACAAAAACGAAUUAGUAGAUAACAAGAUUAAAUAAAUAUAAUAUGUUUGUAAUCUUUAAAACAUCAAAUAAGGAUUUUGUCUCAACAAUCUCCCCCUUUUUGAUGAUGACAAACAUUUAUAAUUUAUUUUGAUUUUGAUUUUGAGUUUUUGAAAAAUUUGUUAAAAACUCCCCCUCAAGUUUAGCAACCAAAAUUUUGUGCCAUUUUGAGAGUUUUCCAGAAUUUGUUUAUGGACAAUUGAGUUUGAUAAUUUUAUCAAAGAACUCCCCCUCAAUUCAUGCAUUCAAGAUUUAAUAUGCAAAAUGAGAAUAUAGAACAUAAACAACAUAAUUCAUAAAUCAUGAAGAUCAUUACAAGGUAUCAAACCUAGCAUUUCAAAACAUCAAAAAGCAUUGUUCAUAUGCGCACAUACUAGCAGCAAUUUGAUCCUUAGUUAAUCAUGAUCAAAAGACAUAAACAGAGAAAUAAAAACAGAGUUUUUUUUAAACAUCAAAAUACUUAAACAUAAACAGCAGCAUAGUGAUCUAUUCUUCCCUAGAUCCUAACUGUUUUCCUGGUCCUCCUAACUCAUAAUCCCCUAAAUCAUCUCCCCCUUUGUCAUCAUGAAAAGGGGCAGCAGCAGCAGUAGGUGGAAUGGUUGGAGAAGAAGCAUCAGAUGAUGAAGAGAUAGUAGGCAUGAACAUGGGAUACAUAGGAACUGGGAAUGGGUUUUGUUCUGGUCUAGCAAACUCAUUCUUGUCACUUAUGGAGUCCUUCCACUUCCUUGACAGAGACAUUUCAAAAGUCAUCCAAGACAGAUAAUGCAAAAUUGCAUUGUUCCCUUCAAUUACCCUAGUCAAGUCACUGCGUGUCUUGCUGCAGUCUUUCUCAACCUUGGACCUUUUGGUUGGCCUUUCAUUGUGCUCAAAAAUCCUUUGCGCCAUUGAAGGAGAUUCAUUGAAUCUUGAAGGAAAGGAGAGAUUAGUUUGAAGAGACUUAAGGGAAUCCAUUUGGACAGAUGAAUCAAAAGCUUGUGGAGCAAAUAAUUUGUCCACUGAAUCACAUUGAAACAAAGCAGAAUAAUCAUGCUUUUGAGGAGAGAUAAACAAUUUUGAAGGUUUUGUGAUUAUGGUUUUUUCAGUGAAACUUUGAAGAAUUUCUGAAGCUUUGACUUUUGACAGAGAAGCAUGAUUGCCAAAGUUUUCAAGCAGUUCCUGAUCUUCCUCCAUCACAGGAGAACGUUCUGAAGAACGUUCUGGAGGAUUGCAGUGUUCAUCAGAAGCAUUUUAUGGAACUGGAUUCUGCAGAUCAGGCCCAUCUUCCCUCUUUCUUUUGAGGUCAGAAGGAGGCUCAUCAACAGGUUCCUGCUUCAUGUGACUCAGAUUUUUUGGAGUAAAUUGAGAAUACUCAAAAACAGAUUUUUCACCUUCAAAAGGAAUAUGAUUCUUAAUGAAGAUUUUGGUAAGAGCCAUUCCAUAAGGAAGACAAGAUUUUUUGUUACGAGACUGAAUAACAUUGAUCAUGUUAUGAAUAAUGAUAUGAGGCAGACUCAAUUUUUCUUUCAUUAAGAGAUGAUACAUGACCAAGAGAUCAUUUGAACUAACAUGUUGAAAAUUACCAUUUCUAGGCAAGACACAAUGUUGGCUUAUGCCAUUCAACAUUUUUGGGGUUGGCAGAAGGUUCGAAGACACAAACUCAGUGACAUUUGGUUUGAAAAGGAGUUUGUAAACAUUUUCAGAAUUGACUUCAAGUUUUUCAAACCAAUCAUCACCAAAGACAGUUUGACCAUAAUUUGAGAUACCAAGAGUAUCAGAGAUUACCUGUGGAGUGAGACGUAUCUCAACAUCCUUAAUCCUAGACACUAUUAAGCUUUCCUCAGGGUAUGCUUCUGCCAUGAAAUAGAAAGCUUGGACAAGCUUUGGGUAGUGUCUCUCACGAAGCUGUAGAAAUUUGGUCCAGCCUUGCUCAUCAACAUACUCCUUAAGAACGACUUUGUCUUUUUCCAGCUUGACAAAAUCAUAAUACCUUCCAAUUCCAAUUGACCUAUUUCCCCAUUUUUCUUUGAAAUCCUUUUUCAGAGAAGGAUCAAACAGAGGUACUCUCUUUCCUGUAGAGAUAUGAAUGAUCUUCUGUUUUGAAGGAUUUUUGGGCUUUGGAGAACAUUCUGGAGAAUAAUCUGAAGAGAGUUCAUAGUCUUUAUCAGAAAGACUUUCUGAAGAACGUUCUGGAGAACGUUCUGGUUGAGCAGUUUGCUUCUGCUUUCCUUUGUCCUUCACAGUUGGUUUAGGCUUUGGUUUUGGUACAGAAACCUUGAUAGGAGGUUUAGAGACCUUUUUGUUACUCUUAGGUUUGGGCUUAAGAGGAGAAGGAGUUUUCUCAGCCAAAGGGGUAGUUGGUUCAGUUUCUUCAUCUGAAUCAGAGAUUUCAUGUACAGUUGUGUCUACACUGUUGGUUUUCUUUGUUCCAACUGCAGAANNNNNNNNNNNNNNNNNNNNNNNNNNNNNNNNNNNNNNNNNNNNNNNNNNAAAUAAUAUAAAUCAAGUAGGGGAGGGGGUGGGUGGUGUGGGGUUAGAAGAAAAGAAUAUUUUUUUUUUUUUUUGUUUUUUUUUGAAAAAUUUUUGCCCCAUUAUAAAAAAACCCCUUGUUUUGUCUUUGAUUUGUUCUUUAUUUUUUUUUUUUUUUUUUUAAAAAGAAUUCUCCCCAUGAUAAAAAAAUGUUUUUUGGAGUGGAGGGAGGUUUUUUUUUAGAGUUUUUUUUUUUUUAAAGGACACUUUGGUUUUUGUUAAAGUUUUUAAAUUUUUGGGCAUCCCAAAACCAGGGUAACUUGACCUUUUUUCAAAUUUUUUCCUUUUGGAGUUUUUUUUUUUUUUUUAGGGAAAAGUAUUUUUUUUAUUUUGAUUUUUUUUUUUUCCAUCAAUUUUUGAAAUCUUUUUUUGGGAGAAGAGCUAUGUUCUUUUUUUGGCUUCCCCUUGGAUGUUUUUCUUUUUCAUUGGUUUCUUUAUUUCUUCGCUUUGUGAAAAGACAUCUUCUUGUUCACUUUGAGAUGCUUUGAGAGCAACCAUCUUUCCUUUCCUUGAUGGUUUAUCAUCUUGCAGCAGCGUCUCAUGAGCUUUUAAUGACCCAAUGAGAUCUUCAAGAGCUAAAGAGUUUAAGUCUUUAGCUUGUGUGAUUGCAGUUACCAUGGGUCUCCAUGUGCUUGGAAGACAUCUUAAGAUUUUUCUUAUCCGAUCAUGAGUGGUAUAAGUUUUUCCAAGUGAUCUUAAUUCAUUCACAAUAGAUGUGAAUCUGGAGUACAUUUCAUCAAUGUUCUCAUCUUCGUUCAUUUCGAAGAUUUCAAAUUUUCUUACGCCAAUGUCUAUUCUUGUUUCUUUUACAUGGCUAGUUCCUUCAUGAUGAAUUUUUAGAGUGUCCCACACUUCUUUUGCAGUCACACAUUCAUCAACUCUUUCACUUUCUUCCAUGCUUAGUGCGCAUGAUAGAAAGAGUCGAGCUUUAGAGUUUAGAAGUACUUUUUCUUUAUCUUCUUUUGACCAUGAUGCUUCUGGUGUGAGUGUCUCCACCUUUGUUGUUGCAUCGGUUGUCAUAGGUAUGUGUUCUCCAUUUGUGAUUAUUUUCCACAUAUCCACAUCUUGGGAUCUGAGGAAUAGUUCCAUUUUUCCUUUCCAGAAAUAAUAGUUCUUUCCAUUGAAGAAUGGUGGUCUUGUGCAUGAUAGACCUUCUGGUAUAUACUUUUCUUUUGACAUUGCCUUCUUCCUGAAUCUUUUCCUCCAACACUUGUUAGGUGUUUUUGUAGAGCCCGGGCUCUGAUACCAAUUGAAGUAGCAAUAAACGUCACAAGAAAGGGGGGGGGGUUUGAAUUGUGACCCUUUUAAAAAUUAUUCCUGAAACUUAAUUUUAGAUUUAUAUACUCAAGAAUAAUCUUGGUGAAUGUUAGUUUAUCAAGAUUAGAGUAUAUAACAAUUAAUUGAAUUAGAACAGAACGUUCUGAAGAAUGAUUAUAAACAGAAUGAGAAAAAUGAAGUUAAGUUAAAAGAUUAUUUUAGCAAGGACCAGAAUGUUCUGGAGAUUAAUAAAAUAAUGUGUGUGUGUUGUGUAACUUUAAAUAAAGAGAGAGAGAGAGAGAGAGAGAGAGAGAGAGAGAGAGAAAAAUAACACAGGAGAGUUAUCCUGGUUCACCAAACCCGGCUACUUCCAGUCCCCACACCUCGUGUGAGAUUAUCCACUAUAGUUUUCUUGCUAACAGAAACUUCUGACUAGCACUACAAUUUCUUGAUCACACCAGAUCAGUCCGUAACACCUGUAUUAUCAACCUCGGCAGGCUUAUACAAUUCUUUGCACACUAGCAAAAGAAAGGUUGGAAUUUUCUAUCUCAAAACUAUUAAGCCCAAUAGACUUUGAGAAAUACAACACACUUUGUAUGAAGAGAUUUGUUUGGAUAGAAUAAAUACUCAAAUCUUUGUUUGAGUUUUACAAGAGGCAAAUUCAAGAGAGAUGAUCCAAGAGAUAUAGUGAGAGAGCUUGGAAUUUGCUUUGUAUGUGAAGAGCUUUGUUUGUAGUGAUGAUUUUCACUUUGAGAGAUAUUAGCUUUCAAAACUCUUGCUUAUGACCUUCAAAGGCCCUUGUAUUUAUAGGUGAGGAGUGUCUUGGUGACCAAGGGAGAAAAUAGAGCUGUUGGACACGUUUUUGAUAGCUGUCCAAAGUCUCAUUUGAUUUCUCUUUUCUUCUUAAAAAUAGCCAGAACGUUCUCAGAAUGUUCUUUCUGAUUUGCCUGACUUUGAAAGCACUGUUGCUUUGCUUGCGCAUGAGAUAACCAGCUGUAAUGAGCUGUAUAACUUGCAGCCCACUUCUGAUGAUGUCAUGUCCUUUUGCUCUAGUGAUGUCAUGCUUAAGUAAGCCAUGUGAUCUUAUCCAUUUAAUGGGCUUUACUUUUCCAAAUGGGCUUAAAGCUUUUCUUAUGGCCCAAUAGACAUAAUCAGCCAAGCUUUCUUGCUGUGCAGACUUGUUCGCUUUUGAUGUACUGUUCCUUUUUCAUCGUUUUCGCCAGAACGUUCUCAUUUCAUUCUCAUGAAACAAAUUCUCACAAAAACGAAUUAGUAGAUAACAAGAUUAAAUAAAUAUAAUAUGUUUGUAAUCUUUAAAACAUCAAAUAAGGAUUUUGUCUCAACAAUUAUAACAUUACGAAUGAGGUUACAUUUUAAGAUGCAAGAUUGCCGUAAUUUAACAAUCCAAAGUGAGUAAUCAAACAGACACGCGAGACUAAUUAUCACAUUAUGAACGACGAUCAGAUUUUAAGAUGCAAGUAUCGCAUGUCUGUUUCAUUACUCACUACUUUUCCUUAUGUGUAAACUUUUCAAGGCUACGGUGACACCGCAAUUCAAAAUAUGCAAGAAGUACUGAAAUUUGGUCGAAACGAUAUAUUUUAAUAUGCAGCAAUGAUCUCAUUAAAAAAACCAAGACGAGCUUUGAAAACAAACAUGUGAUAGAUAUUAUAACAUUACGAAUGAGGAUACAUUUUAAGAUGCAAGAUUGCUGCAAUUUAACAAUCAAAAGUGAGUAAUGAAACAGACACGCGAGACUACUUAUCACAUUAUGAACGACGAUCAGAUUUUUUGAAUGCAGCAAUGCCGCUUUUUGAAAAAUCUGAUACACUACUUUUCCUUAUGUGUAAACUUAUAAAGGCUACGGUGACACCGCGAUUCAAAAUAUGCAAGAAGUACUGAAUAUUGGUUGAAACGAAAUAUUUUAUUAUGCAGCAAUGUGAAAUUUAAAAAAACCAAGAUGCAGCAAUGCCGCUUUCAAAAAACUCUAAUUGUGUUUUGAAACAAACACGUGAUAAUAUAUUCGACAGUAUAAUACAUUCCGUUGUAUUGAAACAUCUGGUGUAAAAUAAUAUCUACUAUGAUAAUAUAUAUUUUCAACGACUGACAACACAUUAUAUUAUGUAUAAAAGAAAUAACCUUUAAACAUACACGGAUACACGUUAAAGUAAAAGUAUGAAGGUUCCUCUGACACCGCAAUUCAAAAUAUUCGCACAGCAAAGAAAUUAGAUUCCGUCAACAAUGACAAAGUUGUGAGCAUUUAAGUAAGAAACUCAACAAAAAGUGAAAUGCAGCAAUGCUGCUUUCAAAAAACUCUAAUUGUGUUUUUCAUAGAAUCAUACUCCCUUAAAAUAGGUUUCAACGAAAGGUCAGACAUACCAGAUAAACUGUGCAAAGCUUUGCGAGUAUUCUCUGCAACAUCAUUAUCCAUUCUGUUUCGUUUGAUCCACCUUGACUACUAAUUAGCCGUAACAAUAAGUUUUUUUGCAGAGAGAACAGAUGUGUAAGUAUGAGCCUCCAAAUGAUAUGUAAACCAAUGAAUUACCGCAUAAAUAGACAUUAAUGCGAUUUGGGUAACAACAAUUCUGAAUUAAUGACAUGACUUUGAAGCUGAACAGACACGUCCAAACAUUGAAUCAAAAAGAUCGUGAAACAAAGCAUGGGAAAACACUAUAUGAAUCUCUUCCAUAAUGCAAUCAAAGAGAAGUAUAUGACAAUUAAUACUAAUCAUAUAUCUUAUCUGUAACAUCAGCAGAAAUGAUGUUUUUUUUUGUAUAUCUGAGCAUCUUGAUAACUAAAAACGCACAUCUGACCGCAAUAAACCUACCCAAUUAUCAUACUGCUGAUGGAUUAGCAAUUUAAGGAAACACAUCAAUCUAAAAAUAUAAUGAGAUCAUCUGAUUAUAAAGGUUGUUACAAUUUUAUUAGGUGCAUUUGACUAAUAUCAUUGCCGAUUCCAUCAUUAUUAUUUAUCUAUCAAGAAAACGCCGUUGCUACAAAGCAAUAUAUUAAUAACAACAACGCCGCGUGUAGCAUUGUAUUCGUCUGUACACAAUAGGAGGUGAAUACUGCAUCUUAAUUUGUUUAUUCAAUAAAGAAGUUGUGCCAUUACAGGGAUUAAAAAAGAAAAAAGCACCAUUGCAUUAUCGGAAUAACCCACACCUUUUGAAUUACAUAAGACUGAUUUUCUAUUUUGCCUACCAGAACUUGCAAUACUAAAAAUGCAAAAUUUAAAAGAAUCUAAUAUAGAGCAUUAUUCACUUCUAAACAUCACACCCUUCUUAAUGAAAAAAAGAAAAAAAAAAUGAUGCAUUCAAACAAAAUAUGAAGCAUAAGUCUGCCACGCCACCACUAAAACUCAUCCAAACGUUGCACAUUGUUAAGAAGAUCAGUUGCGAAUCACACGAAGGUAGAGAGUUGUGUUGCUUCCAGCCAUUGGAGCACCAAGAACUAAUCGGGAACCUUGGCGAAGCCUGCGUGCCAUAACCAAUCUCUUCCAGCCACCUCCGAUUAUGAAAUGAGGUCCGCCAUCAGUAGCAAACAUCAAAGUACAGCCCCACACAUUGCCAUUGUCAUCAAAGUAAAGCGAAUAAAGUAAGUUUGUUUACUGUCAAAUGCAUAUAAAUAUAAUUACUCACGUUAAUAAAGUUAAGCUCGACUGUGUAAGUUCUAUACUUGAUACGAAGAUCAUUGACAAUCCUUUCCAAUUCAGAAUUCGGAUUAGGGUUCAGAGGUGCUGUUAUAAAAAAACAACAAAAAAGAAACAUAAGUGAGUUGUACAAAACUGGAAAUAACAACAUCAAAUGAUGGAAACUUAUACCUAUCAAAGCAUGGUAGGAAAGCAGUGCCUGGAUUCCAUUAUUUGCCAUGGGAUUCGAUUGAACUUGAAAAAGAAUGAGAUGUGAUUUUUUUGAUUCCAUGGUAUGGUAUAUAUACACGUUCAGAUUCAUUCACUAUGAUAAGGAGGUUAUGAUACCUAUACAUUGUUAUCAUAUCAAAGGCUUUGGAAUCAAUAACAACAUUAAAUGCAAUCAUGGAAUGGGGGAAGCCACAACCAAAAGCGUUAAAUGUAAUUAGCAUGGGGAAACUGAAAGUGCCAAGUCAAAUGAGAUCAAAGGAUGAGAUGAAUGCUUAGCUAGCUCAUUUGAUCAAACGGCUCUCCUUAAUUGGCGCCCAAAAUGGCUAGGUUUAGGGUUUUGCAAGGUAAUUAGCAUUGUUAACAAAGAUUAGAUAUAAGUAUGAUAAGAUAAGAUAAGAUAUAUUGAAUUUUAAUAAAUUUUUAAUUUUUAAAAUAAGAGAGGGCCUAAGCCCAAGAAAAAAACUACACUAAAAGUACAUAAAAUUGCUUUUCUUACUGCAAAAACUUUCUAAUAACACAUGAAAGUUACUAAAUUGUCCAUAGAAGUAGUUAACUACCAUUGGCAAGUCCGACAUCAGUUAAUUACCACUGACUCCCAACUGCAGUUAACUACCGCUGGCUCAUCUGCACUUAAGUUCGGUUCCUAGCAGAGCAUCAAUUGUGAUUAUGCGCGUUUCGGUCGAAAAAAAUAAAAAAAUCGAGACUUAUUUGGAAUGUUACGGAACAUUCCACAUCCUCUAUAUGUAUUUUUACAGAGGUGUCUAUAAAUUUGGUAACAUUCCGACUAAGUCUCGAUAUAUUUUGAUUUUUUGACCGAACCGUGCAAAAUCACAAUUUUUUUCAAGUUCGAGUCCGGAAAAGUGACCUAGACGUUGAAUUUUUUCAUGAUUUUUUGCACUCAUGUUUAGGACAAAAAAGAACAUCUCCCACAAAAAUUUUGAACUUUUUCGACAAUGGACGAAUCCUUUAUAUCUAAUCCUAGCAAACAUGCAAACCCUAAUUCCACAAUCCUAAACCUAAAAAAUUGGCUCCCAAAUUUGAAAUUUGAAUUUCAUAUUGGAAAACCAAUGCACACUACUCAAUACAUAUCUUAAGGGCUAGGAUUAAAUGCGACUAAUACCUCAAAUUCGUCCUUGAAUUUUAAAAAAUCGGUCAAAUUCGUCCCUGAAUUUUGCGAAAUAUCUAUUUAGUCCCUGAAUUUACAAAAUAUCAAUCAAAUCAGUCCCUCUGUUAAGUUGGUCUGUUUACGGAGGUGACGUGUAACGUUAACCUCUUACAAGGCUUACCAUGUCAGAUGUCACGCAAGCAGGGACCAAAUUGAUUGAUUUACAGAAAAUUGUCAAGGACCAAAUUGAUGGAUUUUCAGAAAAUUGCCAACGUUUCCAAGGACCAAAUUGAUGGAUUUUCAGAAAAUUCCCAACGACUCUUUCUCCCGUUUCUCAUUAAAGAAUCUUUCUCCUCUUCCUCAUUAACGGCUCUUUCUUCCCCAAAUAUAUAAAUUUGGAACCCUAAUGUUAUAAUUUGUUACCUAGAGUUCAAAAUCCCCCAAAUUUCUUCCAUGACUUGAUGUCAAUGUUCUUCCCAAUUAAAUAAACUUAACACCCUAAUUUUUUUGAUUCAAUUCGAAAUUCAAAAACCAAUGGUCAUUGUUGAAGAUUCGGUGUUCAGAAAUGAUGGGUAGUGGGCGUAUGGGCAAAAAAAACUACAAUAGUCAGUCUUCAUCUUCAAGCUCUAUGUACAAUGAUAAGGUGAGAGAGCUUCAAUGUUGCUGACCUAGAAUUUGUGUUGUAAGAGAAGCCAACACUGUCAAUAACCAAGGAAGGCCUUUCUAUAUCUUCCCUCUGCCAAAGGUUUGUUUAACAAUGGUUAUGUGAUGUGUAAAUGGUUUGUUUAAGAUAUUCAUAGGAGUAUUUUGUUUGAUUGAGUUGUUUAAAAUGAUAUUGUAUUGUGCCAAGUCCAUGUAAUGUUGUAAUGAAAAGAGGUUGUCAAUGAAUGAAUCAAACCCUUCUGUCAAAAAAUUUCAAUCAAAUUGGUCCUUGAAUUAUAUGCAUAUCCAUCAUAUCGAUCCUAAAAUUAGUGAUAAUACCAUCAAAUAGGUCCUUGAAUUUUCACAACAGAUAUCACUGUGAUCCUUGGUGCAUAUAUUUGCUGAACAAAGUAAAAAGUAAAAGACAUGCACUUUGACUAUAAAAAGACAGACAUUUGCAUACCAUCAUAAGUCAUAUAUUUGAUGUUCAUAAGUCAUUACAUAGCCAAAAAAAUAACAUUACAUAGCCAUAAAGUCAUCAAAUCGUUUGAUGUUCUUAAGUGAUUACAUAUCUGUUAUCACGAUUUUGGGGUAUCAAGUCAUUAAUUAGGCUUGAACCUUUCAAUCUUUGAUAUUCUCUAUUUUUUCUUGGGAAGGGAAAAAUUGAGAAAACCCUUAGAAAUUCUAAGUUCGGGGGUCGUUUUCGUUACGGGAAGGUGUUAGGAACCCGCAAUGACUAUAGUACUCUAUAGGAACCGUUUUCUUAGUUUUAUGUCUACGCUUUAUUUUUAAUGCUAUUUAUUGAAAAAAGAAGUUGUUUAUUUAGGUUAAGAAUGGAGGGAGAAAAUGUUUGGGAUUUUAUUUAUUGGACUUGGAGAGGUUUUGACCUCUUGCCUACAUACCCUUUUAAGGGAUCAAAAUUCCAUGUAGUUCUCUUUAAAAAAUGUUUUUGUGUGUUUGAUUGAUUUUAAGUUUUGGAAAAUGGUUUUGAAGAAGAGAAAGAGGCCGUAAAGGCAUGAGAGAAAAAAAUGGUGAAAGGUUGGUUCAAUUAUUAUUAAAAAAGGUCUAAGUUGGAAUUAGAGUUCAUUUGAGUUUGAUUAAGAAAAUAAAGGGAAAAUUCAAUGGAGUUUUGACUCCAAGGUUUAUUUGGAAAUUUUUUUCAAGUGAUGGAAUUUGCUUAUUUUGGAAAAUUGAUAUUUUUCUAAGUAUCGCGUUUCCUAAGCAUACAUCUAAAGCGGUAAACAUACAACGUGUGUGCGUGUCGGUGCUUGUGUCGGUGUACAUCAUUAGAGAGUCCAUUGUCCGUUACAUUGGCCCUAGUUUACAUUCUAUGGUCUUGCAAGAAAUUAAAAGGAAAUUUAAACUACCUAAAAUAUUAUAUGACAUUUUAACAUAGAAAUUAAAAGGUAAAAAUGCCUAAACUAUGAGAAAUUGAGAUGAAAAAGGUAGAAUGCUUAUGAGGUGAAUGAAACAAGAAAUAAAAUGGUUAGUAAAAUAAGGUGUAAAAUGAUAGGAAACAAGCAAGGAAACAUUGAAUGGAAUAGCAAAAAAGAGAGUAAUAAAGUGGUAAAAUAUGCCCAAAACUUGUCAUAAUACCUAAACAUGUACACGACCUAUAAUUCUCUCAUCAUAGCAAUUUAAAAGGGGGUUUAUUUUAUACCAUAAUGUGAGAAUGACAAGAACACAUUCAAGCCAAGAAUUAUGACAUAUUUCUAGAGAUACUUUGCACUUUAUUUCUUGACAAAAACACACAUUACUUGCAAAACAAGAAAAAAAGAAAAAUUCACAUCCACAAACAGUAAAACACACAUAUGAUCAGAGACAUAUUCAUCAUGAAAUUGCAUAUUAACCACUCAUAUCAUGUCAAGACCUCAUGAACGAAUUAUGGCAAGAAAAUUCACAAGUUUAAUAAAAAAAAAUGAACAUAUCAACAAGAAAAUGUUACAUAUAUUUUUUUAUCAUUUUUUAACAUGUAAAAGCAUCACAAAAGUAUUAAAAAUACCUCAAGAAACAUAUAGGAAUUUUUAGGAAUUUUUUGCACGAAAAUUGGACGAGCAGGGGGUUCAGAUAGCAAGAAACAGGGUGCAAAUAGCAAGAAAUAAGAAAAAAAAAGCAGAAACAAACAAACUGGAAGCCCAAGCCCAAAACCCAUGGAUCCGGAUGCACAAGGAGCGUUGGAUUGAUCCAGGAAGAGAAACCCUAGAUCUAAAGGCUCAGAAUGAAGGGGAAGAACCGGGAAUAAACCCGACCGGUUCAGUUGUUUAUAAAAAGGCUUGGGGACCGGUUUUUUUCAUUUCUUCCUCUCCUUUCUCUCUCUUCUCUCAUUCUAGUGAGAGAAGCUCUCACUUCUCUCCUUUCUGAUGAAUUAGGUUCUGGAAAAGUUAGGGUUUUCUGAAUGUUCUUGGUAAUUUUCUGUUUUGAUCUAACUAAAUGGAGAGAGAAAAUGUGAUUCUGUUUUUGGUGAUGUGACUGAUUCUGUGGAUCCUUUCUGAUUUGUGCAGUGAAUGCACCUUUUAUAGGCUGCCAUGUGUGAUUCUGAACCAAUGGAAGAGGAACACCUGUUUUGGACUUAGGGACUUUCCUGCAAAAAUAAGAAAAUUGGAGGACUGGACUGCAAAUAAGAAAAAGGACCUAAAAAUGCAAUUUUAAAAAGUAUUGGACUAAAAUGUAAUUUGGAAAAAACGUAAAGUGAAACCAAAAAUAAAAUCAACAAAAGGACUAAAAUGAACCAGUUACAAAAAAUGAGGUAUUUUAAAAUACCUCUCUGUCGAAAUUUUGACAGGAAAAGACCAAAAAUACCCCUAGGGACUAAACUGACUCAAACUGACUCAGAUGCAAUUUUUGAAAUGGUUUUUAAACAGAGAUUCAACAAUGAUUUGUACAGACAAGUUGAAAAGACUCAGAGGCAAACACAGGGACUAAAAUGGGUUCCAAUGCGGGAAAUGACCAAAAUACCCUUUUUGUAUGAUUUUUUGAAAUAAAAUGCAAGAAAAGCAAUGCAAUGAUUCAGAGAGUUUUCAAAUGACUUGUAAUGCAAGAAAGACACUUUGGGUAGUUUUAUUCAAGAAAAUCAUGAUUGAACAUACUUCGAGACAGAGACAGUAAAAUAUGCAGAUGAAAAGAGAGUAAAGGUUCGGAGUAAAAUAAUAGUAAAUUGACAAAUAUCAGUGUUGAAAAAGAAAUUUGAAUGAGUAUUUUUAGGUCCAAAAUCAGGGUAUAACAAUAUCCAAAAAAGCAUAAACUAAACAAGUCCAAAAAGCAUAAUUUAAACAAGCAUCAAUGCUUUGGAAAUCCUGAAGUUGGGUAUAAACUCCAUGUAUUGGGGUUGAGUAGAAGCGGAUGACCCGUAAUUUGGAUUUGGAACUCUAAUAACUCUAGGAGUAGUUAGAUUUUGUGGAGCAAGACCCCUCAAUGAUGUUUGUUUAUGCAUGUCAUUUGAAAUCACAGGUCAUCUCAUGCCAUAUCUUCUUGUACUCAUUCUCUGCAAAUAAAAUCAAUCAUAUCCGUCCUUAAAUUAUAACAAAAUCCAUCAAAUUAGUCCUCAAAUUAUGUCAGUAAGUCUCAAAUCGAUCCUUAUGUAAUAGCGGGGUAUAAUUGGAACACAUGAAAAAUUACACUGAAAAGUUAAAUCUCAAAUUUUUACCAUUUCCAUCAAAUUAGUCCUUGUACACGUGGUUGCCUUGUUGACACGUGUACAUGACAACACAACAUGCAAGAGGACACGUCAUCACCACUAACGGAGCUUUUGGACGGAGGGACCAUUUUGAUGGACGUCUGUAAAAUUCAAGGACUAAAUAGAUAUUUCGCAAAAUUGAGAGACGAAUUUGACCAAUUUUUUAAAAUUCAAGGACGAAAUUGAGGUAUCAGUCCAUUCAAUGUUAUACAAAAGUCUGAAAAAUAAAACACACAACACACGCGUUCCUUUUUCCCAGUGUUUUCUUCUUCUUCUUCCUCUUAUCAUCAUCACCACCGCCAACCCUCUCCCUCAAUCCACCGACGUUCUACCCCGUAUGUUCCAUGUCUUUUCUACUUUAACCGUCAUAUUUCUCCUCUCAUACUUCGCCGUCGUCGAUUCCACUGCCACUUUCUUUCCAUCGCCACGGGAAUAAUGAGAUUAAGCGCGAGAGUGAUCGACCUAAACUUAUUCCCUCUCUCCAGGUACUCAAUCUGUUAACUUUGAUGUUAGUUCAUACAAAUUUGCAUGUAACAAAUUUGUAUAAGAACAGGCAUAGACUUCUUAACCAAUCAAAUAAACUGCUCAAUCAAAGCUUACUCAAUUUUAUUGUAAAAGAAGAAAUAGAAAAUUUAGGUGGUUUGAAAUGUAAGAUCCAACAUAUGUUAGAUAUGAAAUUACUGUUGUGCUUUGAUGAUUUUUUCUCCUGAUUCCAAAAAUAUAGUUUUAAGCCAAUUUAUGGCAUUGAGUGAUUUGAUUUUCUGUUUCUUUUUUGUCUCAUUGGUUCUAAGUUGGAUGAGAAAUUAGUGGCCACAGAAAGAAGAAUGAAAUAUAAGUUAAUUAACAUUUUUUCAAUAACUUUGAAUUUUUGCUGAUUUUUCUUUAACUAUUGUUUUCUAAUACCAUUUGAAGUAGUCGUUUUUAUUAGAUUAUGUCAUUGCUACAAAAUUUUCUCUAUAUGGGUUCAUGUUGAUUUUGAAAUGAUUGCAAAUUUGUGUAUAAGCAUCUGUAUGCAAACCUCUCUUUUAAGAGCACUAUUUUUUGUUCCGGCUUUGUGUUUUUUGCGGAUGUGCUUAUGAUUUGUGCAGCUACAGGUUUGUUACUUACAGAGCUUUCCAAAUGUGGUAUGUUGCUUUGUUCAUUUAGUGGUUGAGAAUGAAAUUAGUUUGCACUCCCUGAGAAAAUAGCUCUCUAAACUGAAGUUCCCAUAAUCUCUUAUGAUCAUUGUACACACCAAAUCUCUUACCCUAAGUCAAAUUUACUGUACUGAGUAGAAAUUAUCUAUUCUUUCAUUAAUAUUGAAAAAUCUUUCAUCCCUUCAACAUUGUUUCUGAGUAUGAUGUUACCAGUGAAUUUUUGGUAUGUUCCUUACCAAUUCACAUUUUUUAUUGUUACUUUUAUUGGACAAAAUUACUUCUUGCGUCUAUUCUUCCCUGAUUCAUAGAAGUUGUUCUACAAUGGUUUUUGUGAAUUUGCAUUGGAUAAGAGGACCACGGCCAUGGUGGUCAUAGCACAAUUGCGACAACAAGUGGAAUUGCACUCUUAUUUUUGGAUCUAUGUCAUACAAUCAUAAUUGGUGGUGGUGAGUGGAAGAGCAUGAUUGAGUGCAGAAUUUUUGAAGGUGUACGUUUCAAGCUGGGUGAUCAGAUGGUCGGCAAAAGUGAAAUUGUUUACCUUCAUGUCUAUCGAGAUUUCAGUUUUUAAGCUGGGGUCUUCAUAUGAAUUUCCAUUUUGAAUAUUGUUUCUAUUGUAAUCUGCCAAUUAUCAGAAUUGUGUUAGAUAAGUUUGAGUCUAAUGUGUUCAGCUCCACUGUGUAAUCUGUUUCUGUAUUUCAUUUUCAAUAGAAUCCAAUUAAAACAACUUAUUCUGCUUGCUUAAUUAUCAUCUCCAAUCUGCACAAGUAAUACUAUAAACAGGGUCAUAUUAUUCUAUUGAAAUUGAAAUACGGAAACAUAUUACAAAGAAAAUGACUAAAGGCGGUGUAUAAAGAAGUUUUUCGCAAUUUAUGAAUUGUUCGGUGCUGAUGAAAUAAAGGUGUUGCCGUUUUGUUAGUCUGCCAUCGAUGUAAGUAUGUACUGUAUUUAUAUUAGUCGUUAAUAAAUGUCUUAAUAAUGGUCGUCAAACCUAACCCAUCAGUGUGUUGCUUAAUUUGUUUUUACAGAUUUGUUUGACCUGACUGUAGCAUUUGCCAUCAUAUCUGAAACGCAUAAAUUCAUGUUUUACUGUAUACUCGGUGAUCAAUCCUUCUGUCUAUAUGAAAAGGCUUGAUGUAUACUGGUACGGUGAUUAAAUUUUCGCAUAAAUCAGUUCUUCUCAUAUUAUAAAUAACUUAUAAUAAGGAUUGCAGCAACUAAUGCUUCAAUUUUAUGCUGUCUUUGUUUUUCUUCGCAGGUUGAGCACAAUUAAGGCAUUGCAUUUUUGGAGAUCGUUAUCAUUGUUAUACCAUUAUUAUCUUUGCUAAUAUAUGCUCCUAAUUGUUUAAGAAUUUCAUCUCUGGUCCAUACUGACGGUUUAUUACUGAUAUCAAUGGCACCAAUCUCAAUUGAUACUAUGUAUCACAUUAUCACCAACAAAGGUGUAACUUGGUUAUCAUUAUGAUCCAUUUCUGAUUCCGUAAUUAUACUAUAUCCAAGUUCGUUGUUAACUUAUUACAAAUAAUUUGUCGUUUAGAAGAAUAUUAACCACAAAUUACUCAUAGUGAUUUAUCGUUAUGAAAAUACAUAUAGAGAAUAUGAAAAUUUACGUAGUAUAUUGACUGAGCCUCAAUUUAUUUUGAAUUUUUCACCGAAACACAUAAAAUCACAAUAUUUUUGCAACUUCACAUCCGAAAAAGUUAUAUAGACGUUGAAUUUUUUCGUUAUUUUUUGCACAUAUGUUAAGGACAUAAAAAAACAUUUCCCACAAAAAAUUAGAAUUUUCCGACAACGGAUGGAUUAAUUAUGAAUUUUUAAUGCGCCAAAAACUCAAGAAACUAAAACAUCAAAAGAUCGACUUAGAAAUUGAAUUUUGAGUUGGUUUUUUGCACACAACUCUAUAAAAAUACAUAUAGAGGGUCUGUAAAUUUUCAUGGAAUUCCAAAUAAGCUUCAAUUUAUUUUGAUUUUUCGACCGAAACGCGUAAAAUCACAAUUGAUUCUCUUCCAGAAACUGCACUUAAGUGCAACAAAAUCAGCUGUAGUUAACUGCAACUGAAGCCAGCGGUAGUUAACUACAGCUGAGAGUCAGCAGUAGUUAACUACCGUUGGGGGAAAUUUCAUAACUUAAAUGUGUUUUUAGGAAUUUUUUGAUGUGAGAAAAACAAUUUUCAAAAGUAUAUGUUUUUUAAAAUAAAAGAGGGCAUAAGACCAUAAAAGGCACUGAUACGAUGACCUUUAACACCAGUUUGAUCAACUAAGACCAACCACAAUGGUGAGGUCUUAACAAUUUAAGAUCCGGUACCUAUUAGGUACCUCCAUUGUGGGAAAAAUAUUUGGGGGUCUCUUAAGACCCUCAUUUUUAAGUGGACCCCACACAACUUUUUAAUAAAAUAAUCAUUGUUUAGUUACUUUUGUUUAAAUGUAAAUGAUAAAGAGUUAUUGGUGGGUCCCAUUUAGACCUUUUGUUAGAGCGUCUCUGUUGGAGUGGUUGAGUACCUAUUAGGUACUAUCAUUAAAAAAUUAUAAAAAAAUGAUUUGUCAAUGUGGAAUCCGUUUAAGACCUCAAGAUUGAGGAUCUCCAUUGUAGAUCACAUGCAUGUCUAUUGCAUGAGUGCAUCUUCCAAAGAUUCAAAGUCUUCAUUUACAUGAAAUUUUCAUUCAGCUUUCAACAUUCAUAAGCACUUAAUGAAUUAACGACCAAUAUAUUGGAUGCAUGUUGUUUUGAAUAUGCCCUUAAUAAAGAUGAAAAGGAGAAAGAUGAACUUGAACUCAUCAUUUUUACAGCCGUUAAAAUAGCAUACAUGAUUUGCUUUUGCUACUUGUCUAAAUUUUAUCUAAACACCUAAUUAUGAUGGUUGCCAAACACAUUCAAACAUUUAUGUUAGUAACAAUUUUAUAAGCAUGGCAUUUUUAGGGUUGUAUGGCCCAAAAGUCCUAAACCAAAUGGCUUUCACCAUUUCUCAUGCGUCCUCCUAAAUUUCAAAACUGCCCUCAGAUUUUCGGAUUAUACAAUAUGCUACUCUUAUUUUCAACUCUUCCUUUGAGGUCCAACUCGAUUAGUCUCUUCAGUGGUUCAGUUGUGAUUUUUCCUCUUAAGUCCAACUAGAUUAGUCUCUUUAGCGGUCCAGUUAUAAAGUCGAUUUGUGACAAUACCUUAUAUGCAUCUAUGUUAGGAUUGAUACGAGCUGUUAGUAGGUUCUGAUACCAUGUUGGAUGGAGGAAUGUUUUACAUAUUGAGCUUUAGUUGUUUCAAGGGGCACUCAACAUGGAAAGGAUAUUGAAGCUUUGCAGAAAAGUUUGGACAAUGCUGAGUAAGGUUCAUAUACAAACAUGUCUAAUUUUCUAACAUAAUUACAUUUUAAGAGUGAUUUUCAAAUCAACUAAUAUUUAACAUUAUGGUUCUAAAGUUGGUGAACUAUGACAUAAAACUUUAACAUUGUUUGUGGUUUCUAGAAGAAUCAAUUUGGUUACAUAACAUGAAAAAUGGUUACCAUAAGACAAGGAGAAAGAAUAAGCAUGUAUCUUUACACUCGCAACAAAGAAACACACCAACUUUGGCCAUUGCAGAAGAUUAUGGUUAGACUCAGACAGUCAAAUAUAGGUUUGACGCCAUCGAAGUAAUCGGCAUUUCAACCUUAGGUUGUGUUUCAGAGUUUUGAAGAGAUUAUCAGAAUUCUAUUCACUUUGUUUUCUUGUCAAAUCUUAAUUGUUAGUGCUAAUUGAUGGUCUUAUCAUGAAAAUUAUAAAUCAAACCUAAAUAAAAACGAAUAAUAAGAACAUGUUCAUGUACCGAACUGAUAAGUAGCAAGAAAGUGAAAUAAAGAAAACACAAUGAUCUAAACUUAUCAUUGAAAAACAUCACAGAAAACACAAUGUUUGUUUCUUCAUUUUAAUUCUAACGAAUGUCUAAUUUUGGAAUGUGUGCUAUCUUAUCCCAGUCCACCCUUGUUCCCUCCUUGCAUCGCUCAUCUAAUCCUCCAGAAAAACAUAAUUAAUCAGCAAGAGUAUCAUGCAAAACCCCAAAACAGUUAAAAAGGUGCACAUGCACUUAACAAACUCAUCAUCAUUUUCUCUUCCAUAAUUCCCUUCCUUGUUUGUACCACUUUGUCCUUGAAAGAAUUCACAAUUACCUUUGCUAACUGAAUUAUUGCUUAUUGUGAAAAACAAAAAUAUCUCAAAGUUAUCUUAUGUGAACCAAAUACAAAACCAGUAAUUAAUAAUAUCAUAACAACAACAAAUUACAAAUUUGAUGUAUCAUUUUAAACUGAGUGAAAAACAUGAAAAAACAAAAGUCAUUGAAAGAGACAGAAAAUUUAUAUGCUAAAAGGGCAUUAUAAGGCUCUAAGACAGAUUUUAGAUGUCUGUUUUUCUCUCCCAUUGCUGCUCCAACUCUCUGCAGAAGUAUAUUACUGGAAGACAGAAGACAAACUAACAUGUGCUGCAAAACCACCAUAGUGAAGAGACAAGAGUGUCAUAUCCUGCAAACACAGUACAAAAUAUUGUUACUAUACUAUAAGAAACAAAAUCAAAAAAGGGUGAUGGUGGAAGAGAGAGCCUACCAAAUGUGAUAGAAAUUGGAAGCAUAUAUGUGUGUGCUUUUUCAUUCAAUCAACAUGUAAUUUUGGAAUGUGCGCUAUCUUGUCCCAGUCCUCACCGGUUCCUUUCUUCAAUCGCUCCUUUAAUGUUGGGCAACCUCGAAUUUUCAAAAACUCAAGUGAAGUGAGGUGUUGAAUAGAUUCGGGAAAGGAUCUCAAUCCUCCACAAUAACCAAUAUCAAUAGUUCGAAGAGAUCGAAGACCUUCCCAUGUUUGUUCCGGUAUAGACUCAAGCUCACCACAAGAAGAGAUACUCAGACACUCCAACACUAGGUUGAAGGGUUCAUUUGGUAGUUUCUUCAAUUUUGGGAAAUUAGAAAUUUUCAAACUUCGAAGACAAGUCAAGUUUCUUAACAAACCGUCAGGAAAGCAAAUCACGUCUUCACCGUUAAGAAGGUGAAGGGUGGUAAGACUACAGAAAUUGGAGAUUGAUCUCAGUAACUCAUUGUUACAUCCAAAUACAAUGAGGUCUUUAAGGGAUGGAAGGCAUGGCAACACAAGUUUAGGGCAAUCAAUAAUGGUCAAAUUAGAAAGAAGAAGGAACAUAUCUCUUAUUUGCACUUUCAACAAACGCUCUAAGUUUCGUAGUCCUGCUAGUAACAAUUUUUCCAAGGAUGGAAAAGCCCUCACCUCUACACCAUCAUGAUAUUCAGCAUCAUCCAUGUAUUGCAUAUUAUUCAUACCCCAUAAUUCAAGCUUUUUUAGAGAUGGUAGUUUACCUAGUGAUGAAAGAACACAAUUAUUGCAAUACUGAAGUUGAAGAUCAACUAAACUAUUAAGAAAUCCAAUCCAUUUUGGCAAGCAUAAUCCGUCAUAGUAAAGUAUUUUCAACCUCUUGAGAUUUGAGUGAGGUUGAAGCAUUUCAAGUACUUGCUCAGCAGUAGUAGUUGGUGUCUCAGUUUCACCAUUAUUCCUCCAUGACAAGGAUAAUUCUUGGAGGUCCUUUUUACCCAUCAAAUUGGCAUGUCGAGCUUCAAAUAAGCUACCAACAUUUCCCAGACCUUGUAUGCUCAGUUUUCCUCCAAGUGAUAGAUCAUGUAGCUCUCCCAAGCCAUACCCCCUCUCUGACUGAACAAUGUAUACACUUAAUGUUCUUAGGAAAUACAAUUUUCCAAUAUAAGGAAACACACAAGACAAUGAAUUACAAUCUUCAAUGACAAGAUGCCUGAGAUUCUGUAAACAAGUCAAGUGUUUUGGUAGAAAAGUCAGUUUUCGAAAAUAUUUCAAUUUCAAGAUUUCCAAUUUCUGCAAGCGAUAAAUUGAGUCAGGAAGGGUUUCUACGUCAAGAUCACGAAGCUCCAAAUACCUCAAAUGAAUUAAGUUCCCAAGUGACGAUAACUUGAAAGUGUUUGUGCUUAAAACUCGAAGGGAGCGAUUUGUUGGGAAGUAAUCGUAUUCUUUUUCGCUGUAAAACUCUAGUUGAUACAACGUUCGCAAGGAUUCAACUUUUUUGAAGGCCUCAUUGAAGGAAAACAAGUUAAUAUCAGAGUAAAAGCUAGUAUGGUGUGUGCUUCUUAACAAGUUAGUGUUAGUAUUCUCCAAAAUCAUACACUCUGACCCCAUAACUGAUUGAGCAAGAUCAUGCACUAGGUCAUGCAUCUUGAAAGUAAUGUCUCCUGAAUAAUCAUCUAUCUUGAUGUCUUGGAAGAAUGAUUUUUGGCACAGUUCCUUCCAAAUCAUAUUGCCAAAAAAUUCUACAUCCAAAUUAGCCUUUGAGAAAAUAAAUCCAUUGCCCAUCCAUAGAUGAAUCAAAUCUUCCUUUACAAUUUCCAUAUCUUUGGGAAAUAUCGCACAAAAAGCAAAACACCGCUUUAAGGUCGGUGUUAAAUGAAAGUAGCUUAACCUCAAGGCUGGCAAAAUGGAAUUCUCAUAUGGUAAGGUCCAGAGAUUACUGUCUUUAAUUUCAAGCCAUUCAUUUUCAUCACUCCUUGAGCGCAUUAGACCUCCCAAUGCUUGUGCUGCAAGAGGCAAUCCUCCACACUUCUUUACUAUCGCCUUACCUAUUGCUACAAGCUCUUCCCGUUCUUCUCCAGCACAUCCAAAUGCAUAUUGUCUAAACAACAACCAACAUUCGUUUUCAGAGAGACCAGAUAAAUGAUGAGCUAAACAUGUUCCCAUGAUUUCUGCAACAUCCUUAUCACGAGUGGAAACUAAAAUGGAAGAUCCUUUGGAUCCACAUGACAACGCAGAUUUCAACUUGUUCCAUUUGUCUUGGCUUAAUCCUAGUUCCAAUCCUUGAUUUCUGCUCCAUACAUCAUCCAAAACCAGCAAAAAUCUUUUACCUUGCAAUAGUUCUCGUGCUUUUCUUUGUAUUACAUCUAAAUCCAAGGCAUCAAACUUGUCUUUUGUGAUAGAUUCUAUAAUGGAACACAAAAUCCUUUUGACAGAGAAAGUCUCCGAAACACAAAUCCAAACUUUUGUAUUAAAAUUGCUACUUACCCUAUGAUCAUUGUAGACCAUUUGAGCAAGUGUUGUUUUACCAACACCACCUAGGCCAACAAUAGGAUAGAUGGAUAGGAAGUCAGAUACUUGCGCUUGGGUGAGAAGAAACUCGACAAUCCUCUCUCUAUCAUCUACUCGUCCAAACACUUUGGGUUCAGCAAUAAUGGAGCUUGUUUGGCGCCAUUCAGCAACUUCAUUUGGCCUUUCCCUAACAACGACACCCUCUCGUAAAAGAAACUUGUCUUUACUUUCAGCAAUUUGAUCGAAUCUCCUUGUAAUUUCUUUCAACCUUUUGCCGAUGUCACGGCGAAACACAAUGUUCUUUAGGUUGAAACAGGACGAGGCUUUAAGUCUACUAGAUUCAAUGGAACAUUCAUCAAGAAUAUCAUCAAGCACAUAUACAGCAUCUUUGAGUUGUUGGAGCCAUACCUUAAUAGAGCGGUCUGUGACCUGUUUCUGCUCAGCAUCUUCAAGAACAGCCUUGAUCAGAUCCAAGGUGGUUGACAACUUUUCAGCCUUUGAUGUGAUUCCAGAAAUGGUUGCAAAUUCAUUUUGAACAAGAGAUAACAAAUUCUCAAAUACAACUCCUAGCAAGGCCUCUGCCAUUUUUAGUUAGUACUAGGAAUAUCGGCUGUUAGGUGAUCAGUUGGAAAUUAUGAAGGAAAAUAAAACAAAAUGCAGAUUUGAUUCAAUUUAGAGCAACAUCCACUAAGCACUGGGGUGAUAGUGCUAGGACCCACACUUUAAAUUUAAUGUCAUUAUUAUGGAUCCAUUGUUGACUUUUGUUUCUUUUUUUUUUUCCUACCAUUUCAUACAGAAAUAAAAAACAGUCAUAUAAUCUAUCUUGGCUAUUUCUCAAAACGUAAAGUUCUUACUUGCCCUUUGAAAGAACAAGCAAGCCAAAUCUCCAUAUAAAAGUCUAUAAAUAAAUUUGAUUCCAAUGAAGAAAAGUUCUGAAGGGUUAAAAAAGAAAAAUAUAAAAUUAUCUACAAAAACAGAUACACUAUUUGAAGGAAAUUUUCAUAUUUUUAGUCAAUAGGAAUCGAACUCGGUACCAAGUGGUUUAUAACAGUCAAUAGCGUGCAUGACAUAUCAAUGAGUUUUUCAUCAGAGCAUAAUUUUUAGCUAUGAAGAAUAUUACAAUAACAUGAAAACAUUUUGACUGCAACGAUACCUUGCUUAUGUGAUACUCUAUUAUCAUAGGCAUAAAAGAAUUAACUUCGAAAAAUUUUCUUAAAUUUCAUUAAACUGGCUUUCAUGUAUUUGGCCUUUAGGAAACAUAAUUAAAUUUGGUAUUAACCCUACACAAGAGAAGUGUAACCAUAUAUAUUUGUUGAGUUUUACAAGUUAAUGUAUGUGUUUAAAUGAAUGUUAAUUGGACGGAAAUACAGCGCACGAGUAUCAUGUAUAAUUAAGUACAACAUUGGUUCUCAAAUUUUGCUUGCAAUCUGGAAUUUUUACCAGAUAAUUGAAGCGAAAAAUAAAGUAAAAGAACAGAAUAAUAUGCACAAAAAAGUACUGUUUUUUUUACUUCAAUUAAAAAUUAAUUAUAAUGUGCAAAAAACUUAAAUCAGUUUAGAGAGGGGAAAUUAGAGAGGUUGGUAUGGUAACAUAGAAAGCGUAAAACUAGACCUAAUCAUGUUAAUUAAAUAAAAAAUUAAAUAAAAAAUCUUCUGCUGCUUAAGUAAAAAAUUAAGCAAGACUGGAGUAUCAUAUAAAACCCAAAACAAGAACAUUGUAUGACCAAUGUUUCUACUUUCCUUGUACUAGACAAGUCCAAUGAACUUUGUUUAUUGUUUUUGGUAAGACUUGCUGAACUUUGUUGAUUUCAUGAUGAUUAUGAUUGGCAUCUGGCAAAUAAGACUUCUGAUUUUAACUAGUUGCAAAGCUUCAUACUCAUUCUGAUAGAUUGUUUCCUGAAAUUUGUUUCUGGUCUGAUAGCUAUCCGUCAAUAUUUACCUCCAACCUGGGAACGAAUCUACCACAUUGUCUUUAAUUUGAAAGAGCUAUGCUAAUUGAACUAUUGUGAAGAAUAAAUAUAUAAAGGCAUAAUAAGGCUCUAAGAAAGAUUCUGAAGUCUGCCUCCUAUCCACAAGCUACUACAACUCACAGCAGAAGUGUCACUAUUUACAUCACUGCAUUACCUUUUUGAUUGAUUUUAAUAUUACAACAGACGACUGAGAUGAUUUAAGUUAGCAUAGCUCUCAAGAUGAGAAAAACCACAAAAAUUGUGCAUAACCAUGUAUUCUUUGGUACAAUCGUUCAAUUAAUAAGUAUUUCAGAGAUUUGAGAGAUUGAGAAUUCUAUUAACUUUGUUUUAUGUCAGAUCCUAAUUAUUGUCAUGAAUUAUUCAUAGCAAGUUCAUUUACUGAACAGAUAAGAAACAAGAAUUUGAAAUAAAAUAAGGAUGAGUUCUUAAAUAUAUUUGGUAAAAACUAAAUUGUGAAGGUAAUCAAUAUUAUAAAUCCUUAAGAUGAAGUCCUUUCUUAAGGAUCAUUCAUGUGUGCUGAUGAUAAUGAACUCAAGUUGGCUGAGACUUCAUCUGUUGCUUUUUUUUUCGGACAACUGUUGCACCGGACUAUUCAUUACUCCUCAAGUCCUCUGUGGUGUGUUUGUGUUGCUUAGUGGGUGGUUACAUAUAUGGUAUAUAUUUCUCUACCCCCUUCCAUUUACUAUAUUUUGCUACCCCAAGUUAUUCACAUCAUUGAUAAUUUGUGCCUUGUUUAUUGAAUUCUUUGUGUGGUUACAUUUCUGUUGACAAGUGAAUUUUAUAAAUGACAAAAAUCACGUAGUCACUGAUUUUAGCUUCCAUAAGGCAAUAAUUUGAUCAAGUAUGAAUUCAAAAAAGCAUUUAUCCCUUUUAAAUAAAUAAUGUAUGUACACUGUUUGGAAUAACCAAGACACAAAAUGUCUGAUUAUAAGCUCACUAACAAAAAACUACACUAGAGAAAUGGGAAAGAGAUUAAUAUAAAGAAUCACUUAUGUUAGCAACAUUAGUACUAGUAGAUAUUGUAAAAUCAAGGACAACCUCCUAAGGCUUAGGAGAAGCUAUAUAUAACUCUUUCAACAUCUGUUAUUAGUUGGAAUUAAGUUCGGCUCAUGUGUUGGAUCACCGCUGUCAACAUCCUCUCGUUUCAUGCCAACCAUAUCAAUUUUUCUCAUUAUUUGUGAUUUCCAUUGCUUCAUUUGAUGGACUAAUAGAUUUUUCACUGCUUUCUUUGGAGAUUGAUUUUUCAGGCCAAAAUACAUUCAAUCCAUUACCUGUAUGUAUGACCAAAAUACAUUCAAUUCCUUUAUCAAAUCUUACCAUACAUCUAAAUAUGUUUGGUGAAAAAAAUGAUGUGUGAAGGUAAUUAGUAUUAUAAAGUCCUGAAGCAUGCAAUAAAAAGAAAGCCGACUGAAGUUUCUAUAUGUUAAAAUCAAACUGAAAGUUUCUAUAUGUGUGUUAAAAUCAAUCAAUUUGAUAAGGCAGAAAAUGCAUAUUAAAGUAUUCGCUAAGAUAUGAACUAUGUUUACCUGGAAACCAACGAUAACCAGUAAAGAGAUAUCAGUUAAAGGAAAUUGAAAUCUUCAGCAGCAAACAUCACUCCUAAAAUAUGCUCAACAACGUCGCCAAUUCUGGCUAUUGGUGUUUCCCCUGAUCGAACUUGAAACUCCAACUUUCCAUAAAUAUUUCAUACAUGAAGGGACUAUUUCAUAAAUGAAGGAUCAUAACCUGCAUAUUUUCAUGAACACGUGAAAUUAAAUUGAAAUCUAGUAGUAUAUGGAGUUGAACAUCUUAAUACUAUAGGAAUUGAAGAUCUAUACCAUAUCAAUACUAUGAAGGAUCAUAAGGAAGUGGAGACGCCAUAACGAUAAUCUGACCCAUUAGGUUGACAUCUUUAAUUGAUUUCGUCUCAGACAAAAAUCACAAGUUUCACAUAAAUGAAUUCAAAGAUGUCUUCUUCAUUCCAAUAAACAAUUUUUGGAAUAUGUGGUAUCCUGUCACAUUCCUCUCCUGCUCUCUCCUUACACUCCUUUAAUUUUAGGCAACCACGGAUACUCAUAAACUCAAGUGAAGUGAGGUGUCAAAUACCUUCUGGAAAGGAUCUCAAUCCUCGCAUUCAACAAUAUCCAUAGUUCAAAGAGAAAUAAAUGGCUCCUGUUCAGUUUCACAGGAGAUGCUCUCUGUAAGUGAUAUGACUAAUGCUAAUCUACUAAAAUAUAUGGAGUUAAAAGAUGCAAAAUUCACUUUGUUAUCAAAUAAAACAUUUGAUUUCUCAUUCAUAUCAUCCGAAAUUAUCACCUCUUAUAGUUUCUGUGGUUCAGCUGAAGCAUCCUCUUGCUUUCAGGAAAAGCAGUGGUCCGACACAAAUAUGGUUGGGAUUCAGCAGCAUUCCACAACAUAUCUGACACAAACAUAAUGAAAUAACAUGAGUGACUCGACUAGAAUCAUGAAUUACAAUGUCACCUUCCUAAUAAAGAGCUGUAUACACACCUGCAGAUUUUCUGUCUUUGGUUGGUAACAAUGACAGACACAUGGCAUCAUUUCUCACAAUAUUUACCAACACACGAGAAUUAUAAUAUGCAUUGGUUGUGACAAAAUGCUCUAGAUUGUUAUUGAUGUCGAUGAUAGUUUUACCCGGAGUAUUAUACACAUGUUGAUCUUGGCUUCCCUCACUCAAAAGAUGUUUUAACAACUAUGUAACAAGUGGUUCCUGCACAUAGAAAUUAAACUAAGACAAUAAUAUUGUUAUAAUGAUGUAAAAGAGACAAAGAAGCUUUAAAAAAUUGUUCCGACUAGAAAUUACACUCAGCCAUCAAAUUGAAACAUGCAAUUAUAGAUUUCAAUACCACAAAUAAAAAAAGGGAUAUUCAGAAACGUCAAAUAAGGAAACCAUAGUCAAGAGACAUGAGAGGCAUAUCCUGCAAAUAGAGUACCAAGAGAUUGUUAUGAAACACAGUCAAAAGAAAUAAAGAUGGAGGCAGAAACACCAACAUCUCUGUUUUUUGAUUCCUGUUGAAAUCAGUAGCAGAAACAUCACCUGCCAAAGAGUGAGCCAAACAAUAUAUAUUAUUCAAAUAAACAAUCUAAAACAAAUAAAUAAGAAUGACCAAUAAAAACUUAAGAAUAAAAAUCGAGAAAACCUUGACACCGAUCAGACUUUGCUAAUGGGUACGGAGCUCUGACCCAUUGUCACUUCCUCCACUCCAAAAGACUGCGUCUUCGUCAUUGGGUAUGUUUGUUCCAUUAAUCCCGUUAUUUGUCUUGUGUGUCGACGCCAAUCCUAACCAUUCAAUUAAAUCCCCACAAAAUCAGUAAAAUUAAAAAAAAAAAUCCAAAAUUCAAAUUAAAAAAAAUUAAACUAUGAUGAAGAAAAUGACCUGAAUUAGAACAUUUGUAACUUUAGUUGAGCAGUGAAAUAUCUUUCAUGUAGUCUGGAUCUCUUCCUGCGGAAUGGGUUCCAAAUAAGUCAACAACGAGAAUAAAAAUAAAGAUUUUUGAGCAGUUGAAAUCCAAACAUAAGAAGGGGAAAUUGAGAUCUUACCAGUAAAAUUGAUUUUUGCGAUGUUGAUUGUGGCAGAUAAGGGUAAACGUCUCUGCUUCUUAAUCCUCGGUAAACUGUAUUUUUGGAAUAUGAGCUAUCUUGUCCCAAUCCUCCCAUGUUCCCUCUUUGCAUCGUUCCUCUAAUGUUGGGCAUUCCCAAAUUGUCAGAACCUCAAGAGAAGUGAGGUGUCGAAUACCCUCCGGCAAGCAUCGCAAUCCUUUACAGCUAUAAAUCUGUAGAUUUCGAAGGGAAGUGAGGUGUCGAAUACCCUCCGGCAAGCAUCUCAAUCCUCUACAACUCGAAAUGUGUAGAGCUCGAAGGGAUUGAAGACCUUCCCAAUUUUGCUCUGGUAAGGACUCCAAUUGUGGGAACCAAUCUACUUCCAGAUAUUGAAGACAAGUAAGGUUUUUGAACAUCCCCUCUGGGAAGGAUGUUAUUCCUUCACCCUCCAUUAGGGUAAGCUGAGUAAGACCACGGAAGGUAGAGAUUGACCUCAGUAACUCAUUGUUACAUCCAUCCACAUAGAGGCCUUCAAGAGAUGGAAGAGAUGGCAGUCCAAGUUUAUGGCAAUAUGAGAUUUCCAAGUAAGAAAGACAAGGAAACAUCUCCCCUCUUUCCACUUUCAAUAACCCCUCUAUGUUUCGUAGGUAUCGUAAAUGGAGAUCCAUCAGAGAUCGGAAAACCAUCACCUCCACACCAUCCUGAGAUUCAUCAUCAUCCAAGUAUUUCAGAUUAUCCAUAUAAGAUAAUUCCAGUUUUUUUAGAGAUGGUAGUUUACCAAGUAACGGAAGCCGCACAAUUUUGUUGCAAUUCCGAAGUUCAAGAGAAAUUAAAUUACUAAGAAGGCUUAUCCAACUUGGUAACGAUAACCCUUCAUUGUAAUUUAUUGUCAAGCAUUUGAGAUUUGAGUGAGGUUGAAGCUCUUCAAGUACUUGCUCAGCACUAAUUAUAGAUUCCUGUUGGGAUAUCCAUGACAAGCAUAAUUCAUGAAGGUCUUUUUUACCCAUCAAAUUAGCCGCUUCAGCUUCAGAUAACCUGCCAACAUUGUUUAAUCCUUGGAUAUGCAGUUUUCCACCGAGGUUUAGAUCACGUAACUCUGUCAAGCUAUUCCCUUUCUCUACACUAACAAUGUACACACUUAAUGUUCUUAGACAAGUUAAUUUUCCAAUGUUAGGAAACAUUUGAGACAAAGACCGACAUUCUUCAAUGACUAUAUGCCUAAGAUUUUG